rnacentral:lncRNA from 1 species
AGUUCACAGAAAGGUUCAUGCGGUUGAGAGUGCGCUCUGGAUGAACUUCACGACGAAUGAUGUUGGAAAUGUGGUGGAUAGCUGCAAAAUAGUCAUCUUUCGAAACAGAAGGGAUGGAAACAGAAGUACCUUGGGGAGAAUUUGCUAAGGUUAGGGUCCUAAAGGAACAGAGAAUGUUUUGUGAUUUAUUUCUAUAUUUGUGGAGCAGCUGUGCAGACCAGAGCAUUUGCAGUAGAAGUUACAGUCCAGUAACCUGCAUUUCCACCUCGAUACUCGUUAAUUGACAGAAGCAACAGAGGAAUAAUAUGCUGCAAUUUCAAAGAACUUCCGUACUGUAACAAGGAAUAAACAAAAAAUACCAAUCACAUGUACCACAUCGAAAAGGAAACAAGACAAGAUGACUAAAAUCAAUGGUAAAGAAACUCACUCUUAUCAUACAUUAACAUAUAAACAUAUUAAGCUCACUUCUAUGAGUCCUACGUGUUGCAGUUGUUGCUUCUUUAGACCUAGCCCUCUAGGGCAAAAAGAAUUUGAGCUACAUUUCGCUAACACCAAAGAGAAAUGCAUAAAAAUGGUAUAUUGAGCAUCAGAAAAUGGCAUUUCUUAAAAUAAUUUCACAUUAGCAACUUGUUUGAUAUACAAAAUUGAACGAUGAACUGAAUAUGUACAUUUCUUAUCCCACUCUCAUGUUCAUUCAAAUUGAGCAUGUUUUCAUGCUUUCAACAUCAAGGCAUCGUAGGUAACCCAUAGAAACAGAACAAUUAAAGAAGAAAAAAAAACCAAAUAACACAAAACAAAUAGCAUCAUAAAAUUGCUUGCAUAGUUUAACAAUCGGACACAACUAUUAAACAUAACCCAGUUUGAGAAAGCAAAGUUCAAUACUUGAAAGUAACAUUUUCUAAUAAAAGAAGUUGGUUUUAUCCAUUAAAGCUAAAUAUCCAUUAAUAAAUUUAUCACUUUUAACCCAUGUAUAUAACUUCCUAUAUCAAAGAAGAGAUUGGCAAUCUUAAAGAAAAUCGAACAGAAGCUUAAAGGUAGAGACUUUGAAUAACUCAAUUAAAUCUACAAGUUUGAGAGUUGGAGUUGGAACUAAAAUGGAAAAGAAGGAAAUACAUGAGAAAAAAAAUAAAAAUAAAGGACACACCUCCUUUCUCAGUGGCUGCUGGAGAGCGUGAAGACUUCAAAGACACAUAAAAACUAGAGAAAAAUAUGAAGUUUGGAUAUUGGGCCUUGAACUGAGUCCAACCCAGUAGAUUCAAUAGUGUACUUAUGAGGGGCUGAUUUGGAUUAAAUCCAACACUUAUAGCACGUUUGGAAUAGAGGCGUAAUGGAAUAGAGGUGUAAUGGAUUAGAGGUAUAAUAGUAUUCUUGUGUUUGGUUGAAUGUAAUAGAGGUGUAAUAGCAUAAUGGAAAAAACUAAAAUGACUAGAAUACCCUUAGCAUAAAUUUGUUUUGGUAAAUGAUUAUUGUUAUUGUUAUUUAAAUUUUAAUAAGAUUAUUAAUAUCAAUAAUAAAUAAUUUAAUCAUAUUUAAACAUAAUUAUUAUUAAAUAUAUUAUAAUUAAAAUUAUAAUUUAAUAAAAUUCUUAAUAGUUAAUAUUCUUAUAUGAAUUUACUCAAAUCAUAAUAUAUGAUACUAUAAAAUAUAAUUUAACAUAAUUAUUAUUAAAUAUAUUAUAAUUAAAUAUAUAUUAAUUAAUAAAAUUCUUAAUAAUUAAUAUUCUUAUAUGAAUUUACUCAAAUCAUAAUAUAGAUAAUUUAACAUAAUUAUUAUUAAAUAUAUUAAAUAUAANNNNNNNNNNNNNNNNNNNNNNNNNNNNNNNNNNNNNNNNNNNNNNNNNNNNNNNNNNNNNNNNNNNNNNNNNNNNNNNNNNNNNNNNNNNNNNNNNNNNNNNNNNNNNNNNNNNNNNNNNNNNNNNNNNNNNNNNNNNNNAAGCUAAUGAGGCCCCAUUUCCCACAAGUCCACAUGUAGAUCCUCGGCAAAGAGAAACUAAAGUUACAAAUAACCUUACUAGCUAUUCAUGCAACAUUCACACACUUUUUGGACAGGCACCAGGAGUCAACCUAUAAAGAAAUGUAACUUCUUCAGCUCCUUCAACUCCAUUUCCUACUUGGCACGCCUUAAAAAGAGCAGCACUCAUGAGCAGCACUCAAAACAGAUUUAACACGACCAUUGCAAAUUCAAUUUAACCCCGUUAUGCCAAAUUUGAUAGAAAAAAGCUUCGACAGAGCAGCAUGGUUCAUUGAGAUCAAUACACUUUCUACUUUGCAAAUUAACAGCAUGCUUCAUGAGAUAAUCAAGUGAUCUACAAUUAAAAACAAAUUAAACAGUACUACUGCUGAAUAUAUUUAAUGAAACACUUGAAAAGGGACCUCAAAAAAAGAUUAUUGAUCAUAAUUAGAAAACUCAUUUCACCGAAUUUGACAGAAAAACGCUUCAGCAGAAUCAGCAACGGUUCAUUAAGAUUCAUACACUUUCAUCACAUAUUGGCAGCAUGGCUCAACAGNNNNNNNNNNNNNNNNNNNNNNNNNNNNNNNNNNNNNNNNNNNNNNNNNNNNNNNNNNNNNNNNNNNNNNNNNNNNNNNNNNNNNNNNNNNNNNNNNNNNCAAUAACACAAACCCAUCAAAGUAAACCAAUCAAACUUAAAAUUUGACACGGUAAAGAAGGAAAAUAACCACUCAAAAUAAAAUGUGAAGCAGAAAAAAUCGUAAAACUACAUUCUAGUUUUGGUAAUUAAAACAUCUAGGUUAUCAACAAGUGCACAACCAUGUCAUUUGCUUCCUUUGCAUGUGGCAGCAUCUGUUUAAGUUCCUCCACCUUGACGAGAAUAUCCAUGCCCCCCUUGCAGCUUCCUCUUUUGCUUGUUCGGCAGCUGCCUCUUAAACUUCUUUCAUCAAGUUCAUAAUCGAUUGCAUGGUCUGAAACAAAAUUUUCUAAACCAAAAUCUCAUAAGUUAGCAGUUCAUCCUCCCAAAAUAGCAACAAAAAAAAAACAUUAGAAGUUCAAAAUUUCAAAGAUCAGUUCAUUCAUCAUGCUGCGAUCAACGAUAUAAUGGAAUAAGUUCUAGUAUUAUUAGCAUUGCAUAGGAUCAUUCUCAAACCCAAACAGCCUCCAAAGUUGACAAAAGAAAGUAACAAGUUUAGAGCAAAGAGUACCUUGUUAUCUUUAGCAUCUUCAAUGAUCUCUUCGAGUAGAUCAAUUCUACAUGUUUGACUUGAUCUACUAACAACAGUGUUGAAGGUUUCGUCCUCAACAUCACUCAUUUCACCAAUGCAACCCUGCUGGGAUUUAAGCCCUACAAAAAUUUCUGGCAAUUGUUCUUGAGAGUAUGACGAAACCAACAUGCUCACAGCAUUUUCUUCACCGACCAUGGUUCCAUUGAAUGAACUGCUUCUGCAUAAAUCUUCAUUAAAAUCCAUGGGUCCAUCAAAAUUUAACUUAUCAUCACUGCUGCCAUUCUCUAAAAACGGGGCCGUAUCAUCAGCCGAGGUGAAUGGGGCAACCUGUGGCGUCCUUGGAAACCCAUCUUCAAUGUCUGUGGUUUGGUCUUGACUUGAUGAACAUGAGAAAUCAAGAACCAAAAGUCAAGGAAAAAACAUUAGAAGAUACAGUAAGAUCCAUUAAGGUUCAUGAUAACUAGUUUUAGAAUCAACUUAGAGAAAUUUCCAUUGAAAUAGAAGAAAUAACAUACAGUUCACCCCUUUUUUAAACUCAGAAACAAUAAACUAUAUUAUAAUCCUUACUGAAGUUUGAUAGUUAAGCAAGUGAAAGCAUUUGAUAAUUCCAAAGCCCAGAACCCAAAAGAUCACAUAAAAGAAUUGCAUACAGCUCAUUUGACUGCAUUUAUCUUUCUUCCUCAAUAAAAAUGGAAAAGUAAAGAAAUUCUGAUCAGUCCUCUCAUAAAAAUUUUAACUCCUAACAUAGUACUAGAUUCAUCAAGAUGAUGAUCGUGACAGUUUUCCCAGAGACUUUCACUUUAACACCAGAAAUCAAGUAAAAAUAAAUUGAAUUCCAACAAAAUAACAGAAAUAAGGGCAUGGGUAUUGACAAUUAAAUGGUAAAGAGAAAACCAAAAUCAAAAUUUGACCCAACAAAAUAGAAGAAAUGAAGCUUUUGGGAAUCACCUGAAAGAAGUAUAGUUAUAGAAUUCAACAUCCAAACACAUGAAAAGAAGUGAAGCAGAGGAGAAAAUGGUUUGUCCCAAACGAAGAGCCAAGCUAGCGCUAGUUCCCAAUGCCCCUGGCACUUGCUCCAUCAUCUUUCAAGUCAGCUUACCUCUCCGUUUCUUCAUCUUUAAAUUCCCAAACAAGAAAGAAGAAAACAGAGUUCCAAAGAAAGUGAAAGAAGUGGUCUCCGAAAUUCCGAAAAAUUAUGCUUGCAAAAAUGGUUCUACCUUUGGGUUUUGUUUCUAUGAUGAAGACCUUGGAAGAGAGAAAUAAGAAAAGGAAGAAAGUGUUUUUUUUUAAUUCUGAAAAUAGGAAUUAUAUUGUUUUGACAUAGUUUCAUUCAUGUCUGUUUCAAUGUCUGUGAAACCCAUCUUCAAUGUCUGUUUCAAGAUUUGCAUAUAGACAGAGGGAGCAAAUCGGCAGAAAGGGUAAAAUAGGGAGGGUAAACCGAAGCGGCAGCUAAUCUGCGCAAAAGAGAGGGAUUAGAAAUCGAUGGUUUUCACCGAUUAGGAAAGUAAUGUAUUACACGCGUAUUAACAAUACAUUGAACCAAACGACGGAAUAAAGAGGGAUUAGGUAGGGCUCACCGAUUAGGGGUGUAUUGGCAUAGGCUAUGCCAAUACACCCAACCAAACAUGGUGUAAGUGUUGGAUUUAAUCCAAAUCAGCCUUUCACAAGUACACUAUUUAAUCCAAUGGGUUGAACUCAGUUCAAGGCCCAAUACCCAAACUUCAUAUUUUUCUCUGGUUUUUAUGUGUCUUUGAAGUCUUCACGCUCUAACUCUUUGCAAUAUCCAUCUCUAGCAGCCACUGAGAAAGGAGGUGUGUUCUUUAUUUUUAUUUUUUUCGCAAAUAUUUUCCUUCUUUUCCAUUUUAAUUCCAACUCCAACUCUCAAGCUUGUAGAUUUAAUUGAGUUAUUCAAAGUCUCUACUUUAAGCUUCUGUUCGAUUUUCUUUAAGAUUGCCAAUCUCUUCUUUGAUAUAGGAAGUUAUAUACAUGGGUUAAAAGUGAUAAAUUUAUUAAUGGGUAUUUAGCUUUAAUGGAUAAAACAAACUUCUUUUAUUAGAAAAUGUUACUUUCAAGUAUUGAACGUUGCUUUCUCAAACUGGGUUAUGUUCAAUAGUUGUAUCCGACUGUUAAACUAUGCAAGCAAAUUUAUGGAGUUAUUUGUUUUGUGUUAUUUGGUUUUUUUUCUUCUUUAAUUAUUCUGUUUCUAUGGGUUACCUACGAUGCCUUGUUGUUGAAAGCAUGAAAACAUGCUCAAUUUGAAUGAACAUGAGAGUGGAAUAAGAAAUGUACACAUUCAGUUCAUCGUUCAAUUUUGUAUAUCAAACAAGUUGUUAAUGUGAAAUGAUUUUAAGAAAUGCCAUUUUCUGAUGCUCAAUAUACCAUUUUUAUGCAUUUCUCUUUGGUGUUAGCGAAAUGUAGCUCAAAUUCCUUUUGCCCUAGAGGGCUAGGUCUAAAGAAGCAACUACUGCAAAACGUAGGACUCAUAGAAGUGAGCUUAAUAUGUUUAUAUGUUAAUGUAUGAUAAGAGUGAGUUUUUUUACCAUUGAUUUUAGUCAUCUUGUCUUGUUUCCUUUUCGAUGUGGUACAUGUGAUUGGUAUUUUCUGUUUAUUCCUUGUUACAGUAUGGAAGUUCUUUGAAAUUGCAUCAUACUAUUCCUCUGUUGCUUCUGUCAAUUAACGAGUAUCAAGGUGGAAAUGCAGGUUACUGGACUGUAACUUCUACUGCAAAUGCUCCGGUCUGCACAGCUGCUCCACAAAUAUGGAAAUAGAUCACAGAAUAUUCUCUGUUCCUUUAGGACCCUAACCUCAGCAAAUUCUCUCCAAGAUACUUCUGUUUCCAUCACUUUUGUUUCGGAAGGUGACUAAUUUGUAGCUAUCCACCACAUUUCCAACAUCGUUUGUCGUGAAGUUCAUCUAGAGCGCAUUCUCAACCGUAUGAACCUUUCUGUGAACUCUGAACUUGUAUUUCGCAUACUUCGUUCCUGCUCAAACUCUCAGAAUCUCUUCGCUUAUUCUCAUGGGCACGUUCCCACUACACCCCCACCUCCGUCGAAUUUGAGGAGCUAGUCAAGAUCCUCAUUCUCCAUAGAAAGUAUGAAUCCAUAUGGAAAACCAUUCAACAAAUGCAAAAGCAGUAGCUUAGCCUUUCUUGUGAUACCCUUUCUUUUAUCAUUGAAGAGUACGAGAAGAACGGCCUCAUAGACCAGACUGUGGAAGUUUUCAACAAAAGCACUAAUUUAGGUUGCAAACAGACCGUUAGCGUUAACAAUUCAUUGUUCUUUGCACUUUGUGAGGUGAAGAUGUUCCAUGGAGCAUAUGCAUUAAUCCGGAAGAUGAUUAGGAAAGGUGAGGUACCAGACAAGAGGACAUACACAGUUCUGGUGAAUGGAUGGUGUUACUCUGAGAAGAUGAAGGAAGCGCAAGACUUCUUGGAGGACAUGAGCAAGAAGGGGUUUAAUCCUCUGGUUCGAGGUCGAGAUUUGUUGAUAGAAGGUUUGUUGAAUGCAGGUUAUCUUGAAUCAGCCAAGAAAAUGGUAAGAAGAAUGACCAAAGAAGGGUUUGUGCCUGACAUUGCUACAUUUAAUUCUUUGGUGGAAACAAUCUGUAAAACUGAGGAGAUUGAUUUCUGCAUCGAUAUGUAUGUAAUUUAUGUAAUUUAUGUAUUAUGUAUGUUAUGUAUUAAGUUGUGUAUUAUGUAAGCUGUGUAUUAUGUAAGUUAUGUAAUAUGUAAUUUAUGUAUUAUGUAAGUUAUGUAAUAUGUAAUUUAUGUAUUAUGUAAUUUAUGUAAGUUAUGUAUUAUGUAUUAUGUAUGUUAUGUAUAAUAUUAAUUAAGUUGUGUAUUAUGUAUUAUGUAUGUUAUGUAUUAUGUUAGUUAUGUACUAUGUAAGUUAUGUAUUAUGUUAGUUAUGUACUAUGUAAGUUAUGUAUUAUGUAUGUUAUGUAAGUUAUGUAUUAUGUAUAUUAUGUAUUAAGUUGUGUAUUAUGUAAGCUGUGUAUUAUGUAAGUUAUGUAAUAUGUAAUUUAUGUAAGUUAUGUAUUAUGUAUUAUGUAUGUUAUGUAUAAUAUUAAUUAAGUUGUGUAUUAUGUAUUAUGUAUGUUAUGUAUAAUAUUAAUUAAGUUGUGUAUUAUGUAUUAUGUAUGUUAUGUAUUAUGUUAGUUAUGUACUAUGUAAGUUAUGUAUUAUGUAUGUUAUUUAAGUUAUGUAUAAUGUAAGUUGUGUAUUAUGUAUUAUGUCUAUUAUGUAUAUUAUUAAUUAAGUUGUGUAUUAUGUAUUAUGUAUGUUAUGUAUAAUAUUAACUAAGUUGUGUAUAAUGUAAGUUAUGUAAGAAAUGUAUUAUGUAAGUUGUGUAUAAUGUUAGUUAUCAAAGUUAUGUAUUAUGUAAGUUAUUUAAGUUAUGUAAGUUAUGUAUUAUGUAAGUUAUCAUGUUAUUAUGUAAGUUAUGCAAGUUUAUAUAUAAGUUUAUAUACAAGUUAUGUAAGUAUAUCACUUUUAUGUAUCUUAUUUAUAAUUAUUUUUAAAACUAUAAAAUUUAUUACUAAUAAAUUUGAAAUGUAGGUUAUAUAUCCAUACCAUAUAUGGGGUGAUAUAUUAAAAAUAUAGGUUUUAAUAUUUAAAAAUAACAUUUACAAUUAUUUUUAAAAUUAUAAAAUUUAUUGACAAUAAAAUUGAAAUAUAGGUUAUAUAUCCAUAGGGAUUUUUACCAAAAUAUUACAAAAAAAAUACAAAAAAAUACCAAAAUAUUACAACUUUUUUUAUUUACCAAAAUAAUACAAAAAAAAACAGUUAAAAAAAAAGCAUACUGAAGGAGGGCCUGCCAUAGGCGGCACCUUUGGUGCCUGUGGCACAGGCGGCACCAAUUGUUCGUAUUUUGGCCCUUUGUUCGUAUUUUUUUUCGAAUUUUAUUACUUUUCAAAAAUAUACUAUUUUUAAUUUUUUUAUUUUACAUUAUUUUAGUACAUUAUAUUUGAACUGUAUUAAUUUAGUGUGUUUUUUAAAUAAAUUUAAAAAAAUCAUUAUUUCGGCCCUCUGUUCGUAUUUUUUUCCCUAGAUUUUAUUACUUUUAAAAAAUAUACUAUUUUUAAAUUUUUUUAUUUUACAUUAUUUUAGUACAUUAUAUUUGAAAUGUAUUAAUUUAGUGUGUUAUUUUAAAUAAAUUAAAAAAACCCUUAUUUCAGCCUUAUGUUCGUAUUUUUUCCCGGAUUUUAAUAAUUUUAAAAAAUAUAGUAUUUUUUAUUUUUUUAUUUUACAUUAUUUAGUACAUUAUAUUUGAAAUUUAUUAAUUUAGUAUAUUUUUUAAAUAAAUUUAAAAAUAGUGUAUAGUUUUGUAAGUAAUGUAAGUAUAUCACUUUUAUGUAUCUUAUUUAUAAUUAUUUUUAAAAUUAUAAAAUUUAUUACUAAUAAAUUUGAAAUGUAGGUUAUAUAUCCAUACCAUAUAUGGGAUGAUAUUUUAAAAAAAUAGGUUUUAAUAUUUAAAAAAUAACAUUUACAAUUAUUUUUAAAAUUAUAAAAUUUAUUAACAAUAAAAUUGAAAUAUAGGUUAUGUAUCCAUACCAUAUAUAAAAAUUUUAAAAAUAUAUAUAAAUUUUAAGUAAUGUAAUAUAUUUAAGUAAUGUAAGUUAUAAAUUUUAGUAAGUAAUAUAUUUAAGUAAUGUAAUAUAUUUUAGUAAGUAAUGUAAGUAAUGUAAUAUAUACUUAAAUUUUAGUAAGUCAUGUGUUUAACAUUCUGUUAAAUCGGGCAGCCCAUUUUUACAAUGUAUAUACAAUAUCCAAAUCUCGUGUGUAAGAAACAAACAGCAGAGAAAUAACAAACUCAUUGAACAAAGCAGAACAGACAUGUAGGAACUUGGUGUGAAAGGAACUUUUUGUUCUCCAUGUGUUCUAUAUCAAUGUUUGAAUAUGUGUCGGGAAUCCAGAUAUAGCUGUCAGACGGAUACUUUAGGAACAACCGGAGAAUGAAGAAAUCCUGUAACAUAGUUUAACAUUGUUUACCAACUACAUAGCUAAUUACAGAGUGCUGGAAAGUCGAUUACGUUCUAAGAAAAUUACUUUCAACAAUUUUUACUGCAACAUGGAGAAAAAUUUAAAAAUAUAUAAAGAUGGAAAAGCAGCUAAAGCAUUUACCUGUAGAUGCAAUUUUAUACUAAAUUACUCCAAAGCCUCAACAGCAUAUGAAUAAAUUAGGCUUGGUCCAGCCCCACCCAAUAAGUUUUUCUUAAAAGAGAUUUUAAAAUGCACAAAAAUUUCCAAGCCAUUCAAAUGUUUUACCAAGUUAAAAGUUUAAAUAACACUUAAAGCAAAAACUGUGAUGCUUAUUUGAGGAAAUUCACAGUGAAGUCAACUAAAAUUAGAGAUUGUCGAAGAGUAAACUUUUGUAGUUUUAGUUCAGUUGUUUACCCCUUUUUACUAAUAACUAAAUAAAUUCAACUCUGAAAUCAGAAGGAAUAAAAGUAAGGACAUUUUGAUAAAAAUAAUAUCAGCAAACUUACCUAAAUACGAGCUGAUCAAUAAGGCAGUAACAAAUGGUUAAUCCACAAUUUUGAGUUCUCCUUUCUUUAACAGUUGGGCAAAUGCAGUGUUACUUCUGGGGAACAAAACAUGAACAUAAGAACAAGUGUUAUUUUGGGGGGCCCUUCAACAAUUAGAAGAACAAACUAGAAAACAAACACAGAAGAUUGGUACUUCUUCCCAAACCCUAGACACGCUAAAAUUCCCAAAUUCCCCAAAUUUCCAAACAAACUGGUACAAGCUUGGUGAUUGAACUUGGACUCUAAACCCCAAAUUCCUAAAUUACACUGAACCAAAACCCUACAUCAAGAUACAGUGUUUCAAAAGAAAAAAAGCUUACCUUUUAACCACAAAUUCCGUAGCUUUGAUAGUAUCCUGUCAAGAAUGACUCAACCGUUGCUUCGUUUCUGAUGAUUUCUGAGUUCUCCUCUCCCUUUUUUCCUUUGUAUUUUCUCUUUCGUUUUUAUCCCUUUCGUUUUGUCCUCUGUUUCUGUUUCUGUUUGUGUUUUGCCUUUUUCCCCUCUCUUUUUAGAAUCGGUAUAUUCCAAAUAUGGUGAAAAUCAGCCUAAUUCCGCAAAUACUUUUUUAAAAAUAACAUAUGCUAUUUAUUUAGCCUGUUUCUCUGCUCGGGCUCUGCCCGACUUAGGGCUAAGAAGAACACUUUUUUUUUAUUCAUUUUUUGGGUUUGGCCUAAUUUGUUUUGUUUGUAGGAUUAUUUUUUUCCGGUUUGGAUCGGAAAUUUGGACCAAAAUCAUAAAAAAAAAUCAGUUUUACUUGUUUUUUUAUCGAUUAUAGAUUAAUUCUCAAUAUAAUUGAUCCAGUCAAAUAGUUUGAUCCAAUACAAUUGAAUUUGAAAAAGGUUUUCAAUAAAUUAGAAAAAAAAUCGAAAUUGAUUACUUAACUUAAAAUAUUUAAGGAAUAAUGUCACAUUUAAUAUAUGUAUUCUUAUAAAAUGUUCAAUGUAAUAUAUGUAUUUUGAAAAUGUCUAAUGUGAUACCUAAAUUAUCAAUAUGUGUUUUAUUAUGUACUUGUACUUUCAUAAAAUGCCCAAUAUGAUACUCAUUGUCAAUGUUACAUGAACUAUCAAUGUGUGUUUUACUAUGGUACUUGGUAUUAACACUGUUAGUGAAUUGCUAAACCAGCCAAUGAAAAUUCGACGUGUAGAUCUUUUUUUUCAAAUCUAACAUUACGUGAAAAACUAAAUAAAAUAAAAUUUAAUUUAAUUUAAAAAACUAAACAUAUAGUUAAUAAAAAAGAAGUAAAUAUUAAACUUACAUAAGGAAAAACGCCAUCUUCUCCAUUUAAGUAAAUGAUCAUCUUUUCCCAAGAAUUUUUUUAUCUUAAAUUAAUUUUUAAGUAAUAUUUUUUUAUGUACAGGUACUUUCAUGUAAGUUGGUAUUUAACUAUAUUUUAUUAAUCACAUCUUUGGUUAUUUGUCUUUAAUUUAAAAUUUUUUUAUUUUACUUAGUGUGCCGAAUUUUUAUUGGCUGGUUUAGUAAAUUCACUAAUGAUAUUAACACUAACUACCAUAAUAAAAUACAUAUUAGUAAUAUGAUACCACAUUAAAUAUUUUAUAAAAAAUAUAGGUACAAAAUCUAACAUUAUCUUAAUACUUGAUUAAUUAAGCCAAAGAUGUAAACUUGUUGUAUAGGCAUGUACACUUCAAAAAAAUGUUGUCUUGAUUCACUAGGAGUUUUAUAAUAUUUAUAUAAACAAUAAUUUGAAGGUGUUACUUGCAACUUGCUGAUUGAGAUUUCUUUUGUUGUUAUCUUUUGUAACUCAUUUUGUGUAAUUUCAUGCAGUAAAUUUCGUGGUUAAUUUGAAUAAAUAAACAACUCUAAAUUAACAUUGAUAAUUCGAAGUUAUUUUCUUAAUCAAAAAAAUUAAAUGGAGAUAUCCAAUAAUGGAAAGUUUAAUCGGUUCAACGAAGAAAAAGGAAGUUAGGACUGUGGCUAUAACGACCUUUUGUUGCGUAUGACUAGCGUCACAUGCUAAUAUUGUGAACCGUAAAAAUUUUUGCAUCAUACUUCAUGUCUCUAUCGUAUAAAAUUAAGGAUUUUGAAGGGGUUCAGUCUUUUUACGUAACUGACUCAAAAAUAUAAUUAUUUAUGAAAAUGAUUUAAGUCAAAAUUUAUAUAUGUAUAUUAUACAUUCUUCACAAUGAUCUUUGUUACCCCCUGUCACACUAGCGGUAUCGCCCUCUCCUCAUUAGUCAAUAAUCACCUUUUUUAAAAAAUAAUCUUUUUGGAGGGCCGUCACUGUAUUAGGCGCCACUACUAUGUAUUAUUUAAAAUACCUAUUAAAUUUUUUCUUUCUUUUUUUCCUUCCUGAAUAUUCAUUUUUUUAACAAGUAUUUUGAAAAAUAGAUAUUAGUGUCGCCUAACAAGGUGGCAACACCCAAAAAAAUUAUUUUCUUUUUUAAAAAAAUUGAUAAUUGACUAGUGAUGAGGGCACGUGCUGCCGGUGUAUUAGGUGACACCAAUGAUCACUGUAAAGAAGAGUCAUUUACGUUCAUAAAUUUUGACUUUAAUUAUUUUCGUAAAUAAUUAAAUACUUUUGAGUCAAUUGCGUAAAAAACCCAUUGCAUAUGGCUUACAUUGUAAAUAAGCAAAUCCAAAAAGGCGGAUAUUAGUUAGCUUUCGAAGGGGUUUAGGGGUUUGGAUUUUUUGCGCAACUGAUUCAAAGGCAAAAAUUAGGAUAUAAGAGGGGUUCGGCUUUUUUACACAACUGACUCAAAAAAAUUAAUUUUUUAUGAAAAUGAUUCAAGUCAAAAUUUAUAUACGUAAAUGGUUCAUUCUUCACAAUGACUGUCGGUACCACCUAACACACUAGUAACACCGCCCUCUCAUCAUUAGCCAAUCAUCACCCUUUUCAAAAAAAAAAAUAUUUUUGGGUGUCACUACUAUAUCAAGCGGCACCACUAUGUAUUAUUUAAAAUACCUGCUAAAAAAUAUUUUUUUUCUUUUUUUCCUUCUUGAAUACUCGUAUUUUUAAUAGGUAUUUUGAAAAAUAAAUGUUGGUUUCACCUAACACUAUGGCGACACUUAAAAAAAUUAACUUUUUAAAAAGUCAAUAAUUAACUAAUGAAGAGGAAACUUGCCACGGGUGUAUCAGGCGACAGCGACUAUCACUGCAAAAAAAGAGUUAUUUACAUUCAUAAAUUUUGCAUUUAAUUAUUUUUAUAAAUAAUUAAAUUCUUCUGGUUCAGUUGCGUUAAAAAAAAGAAGAAGGAACAACCAUUGCAUACUGCUCACAUUGUAAAUAAGCAAAAUCCAAAAAGGCGGAUAUCGAUUAGCUUUUUAGUUUUUGAGAAAAAUGUAAGUUUUCUAAUAUUUGCUAUAAUAGGGGCAUAUCCAAAAAGGCCGAAAGCGGUUGACCUUUUAGUUUUAAUAUUCAAUUUCAAUAUUUUUAUCCAAUUAUGAAAAAUAUUUGAAUUCUAAAUUCUUAAAAUUUUAAUCUAUUUAUCUGUGUCAUUGGUGAUUUGGUUUUUAAGUUGUUUUUUAUUUUGGUUAUAAAAAAUACUUAUAAUUUUAUCACUUAAUUUUAGAAUGUUUUUCACUUAAGCAUUAAAUUAUUAACGGUAUCUAACUGUCACUAAGUCAUGUUCAUAUUAUAUUUACACUUUUAUUUUGGUCACCAAAAAUAUUUUUUUUAAAAUCUUGAUUCGGGUAAAAAAUAAUUAAAGAUUAACGUAAAAAAAAGAAGGUAGAAACUAAAAUAAUCAUUAAAAAUUAUUGUGUUGUACUUAUUUACCCCAUUGUCGAACAUUUUAAACUUCUUUUCUUUUCUUUUCUUUAAUAUUGAAAUUUUAAAUUUCAAAAUGUAACACCCCUCGUUCGACUCAAUCAUCGAAUCUAUGUUACAGGAUGUCACAUUGUUGUCAGAACAAUUACCAUUAAGUUCACAGUAAAACAAUCAGUUCAAAUCAUCAUAUAUGCAGCAAUAGUAGCAGCAACAACAACAACAUUAUAAACAUUAGAUAUAUGAUGUAUAACCCUUCAUAUAUGAGCGUAAGAAUGCUCUAAGGUUAACCCGAGAUUGAGCGAGGACCAAUUUAUAGAAUUUUCAAAUUUCAGUUUAACGUUGCAAUGUGAAGGGGUUCUUCGUUGCGACGUAAUUUAUAUUUGAUUCGGUGCCCUAAGUGUAAUAUUUUCAUCUAUGUACAUUUGUAAUUUUUUUGAACAUAUUGGUUUAAAAAAUUAUUCAUGAAUUACAUUAAUACUUUAUAUAUUGUCCUCACGUAGUUUUUGCAUGCAUAGCAAAAGAGAAGUAAAUUUUGUUAAUUGGUUGUCUAAUGCUUAAAUUGAUAAUAAGCGGUACUACGUGGUCGGAUCGUAAUACGGAAAGACAAUUUGUAUUAGUAGACAAACCUAAAUAUUACCUUAGUCUAAUUGAAAAUGAACCGAUUGGAAGACUAAUAUGUCAUCUAUCAAGUCCAAUUAGAAAGAUAUUUUGUUUUAAGCAUUGAAGCGGAUGACUCCAAAAAAAUAAACACAUUUGUAAUUUAUUAAUCUGGAUAGAAAAAUGGUGAAGAAUCUAAUUUAUUAAUCUGAUGUACUUUUUGUGUUUAAAUUUAGUUUUACUCAUAAUUUAAUCUAAUUUUUUACAUUUUAAUAUUGCACAUAUUUCAUGUGUUAUUAUUGUUGACACCAUUUUUUGAUGAAAACGGGAUCGACUUGAAUUUUGAAAAAUGAAAUGGGAGUCGCCACCAAUCCUUUUUUUAUGAGGUGUGAUUGGAUCACCUCGAAAAGUGGUUAUUUUUAAUAAACGAUUUGAUUUUAUUAAAAUAACAAGUUUGGUCUACGAAAUUCAGAAGAACGGGUUCGGGAGUCGGUUACGCACGAGGAAGGAUUAGCACCCUCGUAACGCCCAAAAUUGGUACCUAGUUGAUUAGUUAAUGUCUUAAUGUCGAAAAUUGAGAACUUUGAAGGCUUUUAAAAAUACGAUCAUUGUAUUAAAAGGUUGACAAUUUUCAGGAAAAGGGGCAUAUUUCACGUUAUUCGAGAAAGAAAAUCAUAUCCAAUAAGUUAGGACACAAUGUCUCAAAUUCCCGAUAUGUGAAUGAAAAAUGCUUAUUUAAAAGAUAUUUUAGCCAUCUCGGAUUUAAAAAUGAAAUCACGACCAGUAAGUUAGGACGCGAUUUUUUUAAAUCCCGAGAUCAUUUAAAAUUUGAGUUUUAAAAAGAUUCGUGUAUUUAGAUUUAUCGUGAAAAUCGAAACCCAGUAAGUUAGGGUACGAUCCUCUCGAAUCUAAACACGAAAUUUUGUUCAUUUUAAAAUCAUAUUAAAUAAAAUUAAUUUAGCAUGAAAUGGUAGGAGUAAACACAAUAUUAACUUGUAUAACAAAUGAUGAUGAUGAUACAAGCACAAAUAAUAUAAGCAAUAAUCAAAAGAAAUAAAAUACAUAAAUAAAAUAAUCAAGUAUAUGAAAUAAUAAAUAAAAGAAAACUAAAAUAAUAACGAACAUAAGAAUAAAUAAACAAAUAAAUAUCAAAUAGGAAGACAAAAACAAUACGAAAAGAUAAAAUACAUAUGUAUGUCCAUACAAAUUAAAAAGUACAAAAAUACAAGCACGUACAUAUAUGUAUAAAUAAAUUAUAAAAAUAUACACAUGCAAAUAUAUAUACUUUAAACUUAUAAAAUAUAAGAGUAUGUAAACAUAUAUAUAUAUAUAUAAAGUUAAGAUAAUUUAAAAAAAACUAAUUAAUAUAUUAGCAAUAGUAAUGAAUAAACAAAAGAAAAAUAAGACUGAGAAUAAUAAAUAGUAAUAAUAUAUUAAAAUGAUCAAUUUAAUAAUAAAACUAAAAUAUUAAGCAGAGUAUUAAAUUGAAACUAAACAAAAACCUUAAUGCAGAAAUAGAAAUUGGAAACAGAGAAAAGGAUCAAAUUGUGACACGCGCAUAGGAAGGGGGACCAGAACAGAAAAUAUCCCUCCCUCCAAAACGCAUCACUUUGAUUGGGACUAAAAUGAAACAAAAGUAAAGUUAUGCGGCUAAAUUAAAAAACGAAAAGGGACCAGAUUGCACUAAGGCGCAAAAUUGGAAGGACCAAAAGAGUAAAUAACCCAAAUUUCAAAAACACGCGGAUCCCCUGAUCGGGUCGGGUCGACGCGCGGGUAAAAGGGCACUAAGGCCAAAACGGCGUUGUUUUGGCUACUGGGGUUAAACCCCAAAACGGCGCCGUUUCAACCUUUUAUAAAACCAAUUUUUUUUUUUAAAUUUCAUUUUUCUUUCUUCCCUAAAAAAACUCAGAAAUUUUCUCUCAAGUCUCUCUCUCCCUUUUGAAAAUUCGGCCAGGAGUCCGUUCAUCAGCCGCCGCUCCGGCCGUCGGCGACGGCGCCACCGCGCACGGUGGCCGAAAAACUAAAAAAAAACACUUUUUCACUCUUUUUUUCGAGCAAAGCCCCGAUUUGGGGUUAAGAUAGCUCAAAAGGCUCUCAAAAGUCAAAAAAGAGAAGAAGAAAAAAAGAAAAAAAGAAAACCCUUCGGUUUCUCCUCGCCGCCGGUGGGGUCCUUUCGGCAAGCCAGUUGGCCUGACCACCUUCAAGACGGAGGAGUCCCCCAUUACCCGAAAGGUAACAAAUUUCUUUUUCUUAUUAUUUCCUUUAUUUUGAAAUAAAAAAUAAAUAAAUAAAUAAAGCACCUUUGUUUCUUUGAAUCUGUUUUUUUUGCUUUUUUUAUUUCUUGAAAUUGUGAAAAAAAAAGGGUGGGGGGGAACCCCCGUUACAGAGAUGAUACUUGGCUUUAUAGCCAAUGCUAUUUUCAUUUUCAUUUUUCAUUUUUCUCUGUUUGCUACUGUUCUUUGCGUGUUUUCUUCUCAUUGCAGGUGGAGCAGGUGCACGGCGCCGGUGCAGAUGGGACGUGCGGCGAUGGGACAAAGGCAGUGGCAGCAGGUCCUAGCAUGCGGCGCCCUAGGGUUAGGUUUUUUUUAUUUUUGCUGAAAUUGUUUUAAGUUUGGGCCGUUUGGGCUUGUAAUAUCAUUUGGGUAUUGGGCUAGUGUUUAGGUGGGUAAUGGGUUAAGUUUAUUGGGUAAUGGGUUAAGUUUAUUGGGUAAUGGGCCGGGCAAAUAUUGGGCUUGUACAAUUAUUAAUUAGUUCCAAAGUAACAUUUCAUUAUUUAUUCUAUGUUAUUUCUAAACAUAAAUCUAUGUUCUAAAUAUGUGAUUUUCAUACACAUACAUGUGCGAUAAAAUUUCUAGUGUUAUUUAUAUAAAAAGGUUUAAAUAUGUCAAAAGUCCAUGUGCCCUUUCUAUUUUAAAAUUUAAUAUACUUGAAUUUUAAGACAUUGAGUCCCUAUAUUUUUUUAUUUAAAAAUCUUGAUCCCUCCUUUUAAUUUUGUUGUUAAAGUUAAUAAUGUUAAAGGUAAAAUAACAUUUUCUGUCCUAAACAUUGACAGCUUUUUGCUAAUUUGGUCAUUACCCUUUAAAAAAACAUUUUUUUUAAAUUUUUUCAUAUUUUCAUUAAAAACAUAAAAAAUUUAAAAAUGAAAAAUUAUGAAAAAUAAAAAUAUUUAAAAUUAAAAAAAUUGAAAUGAUUGUAAAAAUAUAAACAUAAAUUUCAAAUUUCUAUGUUAUCUAAAUUGGACUAGAUUGGUCAAUCAGGCCAGGAACUGGUUGGGUUAUCGGUUUAAAAAUAAAAAAACAAAAGAUUUUCCACCAUGAAAUUUUUUUAUUGUUCUUUAUAAAUUCCAACUUAGCAAAUUUGACGGAAGAAUAGACAGAGUUAGUGACUGAACCAACAUUUUUAAAUAUAAAAAAUACAAGAACUUAAUGUCUCAAAAUUAAAAUAUCAUGACUAAAUUUUAUGGUUUAUUUGUUGGAAAAUUAAACUGCGGUGCAUUUAGCUUACUUUUUGUAAAAAAAAAAGUGACUAUUUUGGUAGUUUAUCCUAUUUUAACCUUUAUACUAUAAAACAUUUGUUAUUAAUAUAAUUAUUAUUAAAAUAUUAAUAUUGAAUAUUUACAAUUAUAUGUGAAUAAUAUUAUUUAAAAUUUAUUAUUAAUAUAAAAUUAUUAAAUAAUUUGUUAAAAUAAUAAAUUAUAUUAAUUAUAUCAAUAAUUUAUUAUAUGAUUAAAAAUAAAUGUUUAAUAAUAUUAAAAAUUAUAAUAUUUUAAUAAUUUUAAAAAUAAAAAUAAAAUUUAUUAUCAAUAUAAUAGAGGAACUUUUUUUCGGAAAAUAACUUACGCUUUUCGAGAGAGUAAGUCAUUUUACAGGAAAAAUAACUUAUUUUUUGUUGAUAUAUAAGUUAUUUUUUAUUGACCAAGUUGUUUUAUGUUAAGCAAAUAAGAAAAUACAGAAAAUAUUUUUCGAAACUUAUUUUCCGUGAAACAAACGAAUCCUAAGCUUUUAAGAAGAAAUAUUAGUCGAAGAGUGAUUUAAAUUAUGUAUAGAAGUAAUGUUAUAAUUGAACUUAAAUCACGUCCAUGUUACUCUUUAGAUAAGAUCUAGAAACAUAAAAAAUUUCCUAACUGCAAUAUAAAACUUGUAUUUAUAUCUUAUUUUUACACCGUUAAUAAAUCCAUUCUCAAAUUUCAAUUCCAUUUUCCUUUUCUUGGAGUAAAAUGGGCCAUCAAAUGGGGCUUGUACGCCCAUUAUUCUCAACCAAGAAAAUUAGGAUCUACUUCAUUUUCAGAUACUGUUUGAGUCACUUUCAAUCCAGAAAAUGCCAGCAUGACCCAAUCCUGCCGGAGCCAAAUUUAAAGAAAGAAAAAGAUAAACAUCUAAUAUCUGAAAAAAGAAAAUAGAACUCUUUUGUUUCAAUAUGUCCUAAUUUGAGAAAAAGAAGAUGAAUUCAUGCAGGCCUGCUGAAGAAUGAUACAAACAGUAACUAAAAAAUGAUUCUUUUGUUUCAAUAUGCAUGUACUGUUGGAUGUGGUACAAAUUAAAGAAAUGAAAUAAAAUAAGCCAAAAUCAUAGACUAAUUCAAUGACUUCAACCUAUCAAUGGCCAUUCAUUCAUGCAGAGCCUCUCAAAUAAAUAGAAUUAAGAAUCUAAUUUAUAACUCUACCACGUACAAAAAAUGGAAGCCCUUCAGAUUUUCGUAGCCAUUUUCAUCUUGGCUCUUGCAUCGCCUUUGACCUUUGCCUCUGAUCCUAGCCCUCUUCAGGACUUUUGUGUAGCCAUUAAUGAUCCCAAGGGCUCUGGUAUGUCUUCUCUUCAAAUACUUUCAUUUUUCUUGAGCUACUUGUGUCUGUGUCUAAUGUAUAUCCGGACAUGAACAGCAUAUGAAUCUCCUUUUACACUCGUAUCUAUCACAUCCAUAUAUUCGACACUUAAAUUCAAGUUUUAGUAACAUAAACUCAUCUUUUCUUCUUCUUCUGGUAUUGACUAACAUUUCUUGCUUUCAUGCAGUGUUUGUCAACGGAAAAUUCUGCAAAGACGCAAAGCUUGCCAAAGCAGAUGACUUCUACUUUUCAGGUCUCCAUAUCCGCAAAAACACAUCCAACACAUUUGGAUCUACUGUCACACCUCUUAAUGUUGCACAGAUGCCAGGACUUCACACAUUGGGGAUAUCUAUGGUUCGAAUUGACUAUGCACCUAACGGUGGCCUGAACCCUCCUCACACUCACCCUCGUGCCUCAGAGAUUCUAGUUGUUCUGGAAGGCACACGCCAUGUCGGUUUCAUUACAUCGAAUCCAGAUAAUCGUUUGAUUUCUAAAGUCCUAUAUCCAGGAGAUGUCUUUGUUUUUCCUGUGGGUCUCAUUCACUUUCAGUACAACAUAGGGAACACCUAUGCUGUCGCCUUUGCUGGUCUUAGCAGUGAAAACCCAGGGGUGAUCACUAUUGCAAAUACAGUAUUUGGCUCAAACCCUUCCAUUAAUGCUGAUAUUCUUGCCAAGACUUUUAAUCUGGAUAGGAAAAUGGUGAAGAAUCUUCAAUCCAAAUUCUGAUGGGAUAACAUUCGAAGGAAUGUUCGAAUGAUGUUUGAAUUUGUCAUUUGUUAUUUAUAGUAAAAUUAAAUUUUAUUUUAUUUCUGAAAUAUAGAAUAAAAGAGGUUGUUUAUGGGCCUCAUCUUAUGUUUGUUUGAAUUUUAGCAUAUUAUAAAAUUGAAAAGUGGUCUUUAUUUGAAUCCAUAAGAAAUAUUUAAGUAACAAAUUACGAAUUGAGUUUUAACUCGAUUGGUAUGGGUAUUGUUAUCAAUGUAAGAAGUUCUAGAUUCGAGUGUGUUGAAACGAAUUAUUCUCCUAUUCAUGGGUUGGGAGGGGCUAUGAGUAAUUUUAGGCAUUAUCUCAAAAAGAGCAAAUAUAAUUAGGACUUAUAAUGAAAUUAUUAAAAAAAAUAACAAAUUAGAUCUUCAACUUUACUGGUUAUUUUAUUUUAGUUUUUCUUUUGCUACUUUAUUUUUUAUACUUGAAGUAUUAUUUUCAUCUCAAGAAAAAUAAGGAUGUGGAUGCCAAUAGUUUUUGAGGUAAAAUAAAACAAAAGUAAUAGUUAAGUAAAAAAAUUAAAUACUAAAAUGAGAAAUUUUUAUACUUUAAAUUUCAAACUGUGAUAUAAAGUCAUAUCUAAAUUUGAGCCAAAAAUAUUAAACAAAACAUGAAAACAUGUUUUUAUUUCAAUUCAAGUUUAAAUGUUAUUCGCUUACGGCAUGUUUGGUUCAUUGGAAUAGAAUAGGACUGUAAUGGAAUAGUCAUUCUGUGAGAAUAGAAUAAGGUUGUAAUGGAAUUGAAUAGACAUAAUAGUAGUUUUGUUAGAUGGAAUGGAAUGAGUAUUGUAGUAGUAUUCAUGUGUUUGGUUGAGAGGAAUAGAUAUGUAAUAGCAAAAAAGAUACUCGAAUGACGAAUAUGCCCUUUAAUAAAUUAAAUUAAAUUUUUAUUUUUGUAAAAAUAUUAAAAAACCAAAAACGUUAAAUGCUAAAAUGACAAAUAAUUAAAUUUAUUGAUCAUUUUUUAAUUUUUUAAAAUUAAAUGCCCAAAAUGUAAACUUACUAAUAGUUUACCCAUAAAAAUCCAACAAAAACCCAAGCCCACUUGCCCACCAAAAUUCCAAAACCCACCAACCAUCAUCACUUUCUUCCCCAUUUUUAGUUCACGAUAAAUCUUUUCCUUUCGACCAAAUUUUCCACCAACAAUUGUUCUUAAAAUUGCUUCAUUUCAACAUUUUUAUUUUAUCUAAAAUGAUAAAUCUUUAUCCUUCAAAUUUUUUUUUGACAUGAAAUCUGAGAUUUUUAUUAAUAUUAACUCAAGCUCAGUAAUCUCACACACCCUAAAGCUUCUUUCAGCUCGUUUGAGCUCAAUUUAAUUUAUUUCCAGCUCAUUUACUUUAUUGCUAGAAUAAAUUAAGUGAUUACUUUAAUUAAUUUAUUUUGUUUCAGCUCAUUGAUUAGUUUAUUAGCUCAUUACAGCUUAUUACAUGUUUUUUUAGUAUAAUUUGAGCUAGCCGAAUUAAUGUGUCUUGAUAAGUCAAUAUUUAAUUUGUCUUAGCUUCAUUAUAUUUUAUUAAUGUGUCUAAGGUAUGAAUUUAUUUUGUUCCAGCUGAAUUUAAGCUUGCCUUAACUCCAUAAAUGUGUUCAUUGUAUUUUGGUGCAGCCAAAAUCAUGAAGGAUGAUUAAUGCUAGGUGCAUAAACAACUGGUUACAACGAAUGGAGAGAUUCAUGCAUGACCUGCUACAAUGCACGGUGGUUGAUUGUUUGGAUUCUCUAAGCACCUAUUCGGCUAAGAAGUAGCUGCCCAUCAAUUUUCCAAGUUGGCUGAACAUCUUCCCAAGGCAACCUUGAAGGUGUUCACACUUGCUGAAUAUCCCAUUCAUACAUGAAGUCCAUUCGGUUAUAACCAUUCACAUUCAAAUGGCUCUUCAACUUGGUGUUCACACUUCUAAUGACUAUUCAAGCUGCCCAAUCAAUGCCUUCAACAUUCGGCUGAACAAGGCAAAUUAAUUGAGCUCAUUUAAGCUCAUGGCCGAACCUAGACAUGCCCAAUCAGCUCCCAAUGCUUCCAAAUUCAUUCAGCUGAACUCCUUCCUCAUUAAGCUAACUUGUGGAGUCCCCAAAGACUGAACAUGGACAAUGAAGGCUUAUGGAUUUAUCCAAGAUUAUUUCAGCUCAUUUAAAGCUGAAUAUUUAGUCAUUAAGCUAUGAAUUUGUCUAUUCGGUUAGCCUCUGUCAUAGCUAUAAGUACUUAGCUAUUUUCAAUUUGUAAGGACUUUUGUCAAGACUUUUAUCAAUUUGAAUGAAAUUUGAGUUCUUUGUGAGGUUUCUUCCUCUCCAAAUUUCAUCCGAGUCUCACUUGACUUAUCUGCUCGUCAGUGGUGUCAAUUUGAUUCUCUUUUUGAACUUUUCACCAUUUUGGUGUGGCGUUCACCCUAUCCUUUAUACCUUUGGUUCCUAUCUUGUUAGGUAAUGGGUCAAGGUUCCAUUCUUUCAUUCACCAAACCACCUUAAGCUAUAUAAGUCUCGGGUCACACUCUUUAUAGUGUUGGUUCGUUCUUGACGCUUGAGUUCAAUUUCCAUUCCACCUACUUAUCAAAUUACUUAUGUUUAUAUCUUUGGUAGCCCAACCUAUUCAAACCAUACUUAACCUACUUUGAACUUAUUUACACCCACUAUCCUAUUAUUUAGCCGAUUACAAGCCUAUUACUAGUUUGGAACAAUACUUUCUCGUCGAAGAUCAGACAACUAAUAUGACUCGACUCACUUUACCGAGGCAGAUCGCAUCAAUAACUUUUCUUUAAGCACUGCUCGUUCUGGUGAGUAUUUCACCUAGCCACUGUUGAAGUCCUUCUCUUUCAUCUAUUUGGUAAUCAAGAAUCCCUAACUCCUGCCAUAUGUUUUUAACUACUUGGCAAUCUCUGAAGGCAUGUUUUCAAUUAUGUAUGCUUAUUUCUUGUUUUAAUAUUUUUGGGAUAUUAAUUCAUGUUUAAUGUGCUUAUUUCAGUGUUUAAUGAAGCAAAAGUCCCUGUUUAAGAGUAGAUUUAGCAUAAUUGAGUGGAGUUGCAUGCAAUCCUAGAAAUAGGACGACAUAAAUCUAUCGGAUUAGAGUCAAAUAUAAUAAGAGAAUUCAUAGAUCGAGUUAAUGUGACGAUAGGGGUUUUAAUUAGAAAGAGAUUUCAAUUAAUCAACCUAGAGUCAGUUGUUAGGGAUUUCUACGGAUCAAGACACAAGUGAAUAAAUUGUUUAAUUUAAAUUCAUAAUAAUAGGUGAAGUCUAGGUGGAUUCUUUCCUGAGUAUUGUCUAUCUCAUUGGUUAAUAUUUGAUUAUUUCUUUGAUUCAUUCUCUGUUGCGUUCUGAGUUAAAUUAGUUUAGUAAUUUUAGAUUAAAACAUAAUCAUUCCAAUUUUUAGGCUAAAUAACAAGAAGACGGUAAUUUUAGUACUUUUAGUCCUCGUGGAUACGAUAUUCUCUACUCACCAUAGUUAUACUAUUGUUCGAUAGGUGCGCUCCCUCUGUCUUAUUUUUAGUUAGUUUAGUGACCAUCAAGUUUUUUUGGCGCCUUUGUCGGGAACUAAAAUAUUAGGAACACUCGAUUUUAUUAAUUUAGCCAUUUUUAUUUUUAUUUUUAUUAUAAUUUUUAUUUUUAGUUUAAUUUUUACUUUCUAUUUUUUCUUUUAUUUGCUUCUGGCAAGUUCCUUUAGUUUAUGUCUAGAAGAAACCCGUCAAAACCAUUGUAAUUUGACAGUGAAAUUAAAAGUACAGCUCGUAAAAACCGUAGAGAAACAAGGCAGAGUCGAGAGAAUUUAGUAGACGAACAAGAGUACUUUGUUAUUAUCGAGAAGAUGAGUGGUAAUCAGAAUAAUCAGCUACCUCCUACAGUUGUUGCGAAUCCAGAUCAUGUUCCUCGUACUAUGUACGAUUAUGCCAAGUCCACUCUGACUGGGGCUAAAUCGAGUAUUGUGAGACCCAUUAUUGAUGCAAAUUAUUUUGAACUAAAGCUGAACACUAUUUAGAUGGUACAAUAGUUUGUUCGAUUCUAAGGUUUGCAAGACAGAGAUUCAAAUACUCAUUUGGCUAAUUUUCUAGAAAUUUACGAUACUUUCAAGAUUAAUGGCGUCACUAACGAUGCCAUUCAUUUACGGUUAUUCCUUUUCUCAUUGAAGAACAAAGCUGAACAGUGGAUAAAUUCUUUAGCCAAAGGGGAUUUGAGUUAAAAACCCGAAGGGCGGCUCAAAUAUUGAUCAGAAUGGGGCAUGAAGUGAUCAGAUUGGGGCAUGUGGUGAUCUUACUAUACCUGAAAGGGUAAGGCGACAUCUUGGGGCAUCGACAGAGUCCUGAAGAUCUCCUAAACACAUGUCAAACUCAGGAAAGUCUUCAGAAAGUUUGUACAGAGAAGUUCAAGCUGCGAUAUCUGGGGCACCUAACCUUCAUACUAUUUAUAUAUUAAAUUUGUUGUUGUUCUUGGAAUACUUCAUUCUUUUUCAAGAUACGUGUUCCAAUCAAUUCCUCUUUUAUUCUUGCUACCCUUGAUAAUUCAUUCAUUUCGAGCUUGCUGUCAAAUCAAUUCUAUUUCAUCCAUCGUUAUAUUCUUUUUUGCAAGUAUGUUGCAUUGGAAUGAUGAUACUUUCACAAUGAAAGUUUUACAUAUUACUCUAGAAGUUUCUAAAUAAUAUAGGAACCUGAAACAGGACUAUCGUUUAGAAAACACCAAGUUUAAAGGGUGAGAUAUCUAAGAAGGAAGAGUCUAAGUUAAAGACUAUCCUUUCAGAUUUUGUUGUCCAAACAUUGAUUGAACAAAAUGACAAGAUGCCGUGUUGGUGACAAAGCUUCAAUGAACAAAUAAGCAAUGAUCACUGAGUAAUAAGAAAAUAUUUUCUCGGAGAAGAAAAUUUUGCAUGAGCAUUUGGUAUGACACAUUGGGAAUGGGGUAAAGAACCAAAGAGCUUCACAUUCUGUAUCUUUGAAUUGCGAUAGGAGAAGAUUGAAAAAAGCCAUAUCUUUCUACCCUUGGGUUACAGUGGGAGAUUGAUGGUACAAAUUUUAUGACCCAGUGGAUUGAACUUUGACGUUCACAGUGGGGGGCAAUCAGAUUAAGUGUUUCUUUGGAUAUGCUAGCCGAGCAAGAAGGCGGUGUAGCACGUCAGUGAUAAAGCCUUAAUAAGCUUUUGCGUGAUGAUAACUUAAGCAUUAAGGAAUCAUUUUCAUAACAUUUUGCAUUCAUUCAAAUGUCAUUCAUACACAUCUAGUUAGGAGCAUUUGAUUCGUUCUGAUCAUGUCAUCCUAAUCACUAGGCACAAUUAGGUUCAUAAAAUAGAACAUAUAGGCAUGUUCCCCAGAGAACAGAUCAAUGAAGAUAGCAGAUCUUAUCUUCCUGUAUUUGGCAGCAGAGGAGAUCGAAGAUAACAGAUCUUGUCUUCCUGUAUUUGGCAGCGGAGGAGAUCGAAGAUAGCAGAUCUUAUCUUCCUGUAUUUAGCAGCGAAGGAGAUCAAAGAUAGCAGAUCUUGUCUUCCUAUAUUUGGCAGCGGAGGAGAUCGAAGAUAGCAGAUCUUAUCUUCCUGUAUCUGGCAGCGGAGGAGAUCGAAGAUAGCAGACCUUAUCUUCCUGUAUUUGGCAGCGGAGGAGAUCGAAGAUAGCAGAUCUUAUCUUCCUGUAUUUGGCAGCAGAGGAGAUCGAGGAUAUCAGAUCUUAUCUUCCUAUAAUUGGCAGCGGAGGGGAUCGAAGAUAGCAGAUCUUGUCUUCCUAUAUUUGGCAGCGGAGGGUGUAACACCCCGACCCGUGUCCAUCGACGGAUUAGAGUUACGGGGCAUUACCGAUCAAAAUUUAAUAUCAUAAAUCAAGCAAUUAUCCAAACAUUUAUAUCAUUUCAAUUUACUAACUAUACUACAUAUAAUACAAAUAUUAUUUUCAAAUUAGGCUUAACUAUACUAAUUUAUAAAACUAUUUACAAAUAUGCUAAACACAUCACACUAACAUAUAAAUAACCGAAAUUUUUGCAUAAGCUUAAACAUCAUAUAUAUAUAUCAAAUAGAUCACAACCAUAAAACCAAACUUAACCAAAAUGAAUAAGCCAUUUUCGCAUGGCUCAAAUUCACACAUCCCAAAAUUAAACAUAUAAACUAGACUAUACAUGCCAUAGGUUCGAAUUCAAAAUUUAUAAAAUACCAAAGACAGUCGAUAGUGUGAUAGACUAUGCUGAUGAUCCCCGAGCUCGUAACGCGACUCCAAAAUCUAUAAAACAGAGUAAACAAAUACAAACACACAUUAAGCUAUUAAAGCUUAGUAAGUUAUACAAAAAAAAUUCAUUUAUAUAUAAAUGCAUAAUAAUACUUAUUCCAUCAUUAAGAUAAAAUAAACCAAAUAUCCUAAUAUUUCAUACCAUCUAACACUUUAAAUAAUAAUAAUAAUAAAAAAAUCACAUUGNNNNNNNNNNNNNNNNNNNNNNNNNNNNNNNNNNNNNNNNNNNNNNNNNNNNNNNNNNNNNNNNNNNNNNNNNNNNNNNNNNNNNNNNNNNNNNNNNNNNUUUUCAUAUAAACAAACCAUAUGGCCAAAUACACAUAAAUAUUUAGCAAAGCCAAAUAUUCAAUAAAUCAUUAUGUCAAAACAUGCUUAUAUUCAAAUGGUAAACUCAUACUAUAUAUUUCAUUUGAAACUAUUAUCAAAUUAUAACAAUCAACUUACCUUAACACUAAUUAAGCAAAUGGCUAACACAUACCUGAAUAAUUUAGCUUUUACUAUUACUCACAUAAGAUUUUUAUAACAUAGAGACUUGUAUAAAACACCGGCAUAAAGCCUGCUAGGCACAAAGCCCGAUACAUUCCACCGGCACAAAGCCUGCUAGACAUAAGGUCUGAUACAUUUCACCGGCACUAAGUCUGCUAGACAUAAAGUCUGAAGUAAUUCACCGGCAUCAAGCCUGCUAGACGUAAAGUCUGAAAUAAUUCACCGGCAUCAAGCCUGCUAGACGUAAAGUCUGAAAUAAUUCACCGGCAUCAAGCCUGCUAGACGUAAAGUCUGAAACAUCUUAUUUUCAAACUAUAUAUAUAGUAUAUAAAAUCCAUGUAUAGAGAUUCAGCUCAAAAUUCAUUACUUAUAUUUUUAAAACACAUGGAUAUAUAAAUCUCCAUCACCAAAUCUAACUUGAUAAUUCAAUAAUUCAACCAAAACAUAUUUGUAUAUAUAACCUCAUACUUUUGAUUCUACUACUAAUAUCAUAAGAUUUAACUUAUAAUAUACUAUGUGUCUUUAACAUUCAAACAUAUUAAAAUAAUCUAAGCUAAUAAUUUCAUACCAUUUAUUCAAUACAAAACUUGUACAUUUGCAUAUACGUUCACAUUUGACUUCAUGUCAACAUAUAUAAUUCCAAACCUAAUUUCAAUUCAAGAAAUUAUACAUGUACAUUUAUACAUAUUCGAAUCUACCAUAUAAAUAUAUAAAUUCAUACUCAAUUUCAAAACAUAAACCUAUACAUAUAUAUAUGACAUAUCUAAAUUCAAUACACAACACAUAUAUCUGCAUACUCAUUUGAANNNNNNNNNNNNNNNNNNNNNNNNNNNNNNNNNNNNNNNNNNNNNNNNNNNNNNNNNNNNNNNNNNNNNNNNNNNNNNNNNNNNNNNNNNNNNNNNNNNNNNNNNNNNNNNNNNNNNNNNNNNNNNNNNNNNNNNNNNNNNNNNNNNNNNNNNNNNNNNNNNNNNNNNNNNNNNNNNNNNNNNNNNNNNNNNNNNNNNNNNNNNNNNNNNNNNNNNNNNNNNNNNNNNNNNNNNNNNNNNNNNNNNNNNNNNNNNNNNNNNNNNNNNNNNNNNNNNNNCCUUUAAAUUUAAGUUCAACAAAAUACAAUACAUUUACAUACCUAUAUAUCGAUUUAACAACAUUAAAUAGCUAUUAGACUUACCUCGGAUAUCAGCGGACACGAUCGACUACUCGACUACUUUCGUUUUCCCCCGAUCCAAUUCCGUUUUCCUCGUUUCUUGAUCUAAACACAUUUAAAUUUAACCUUUUUAUUCAUCAAAAUAUUCAAUUAACUCCAAAAAUACAUAAAUGGACAAAUUACUAUUUUGCCCUGACAUUUUACACUUUUUACAAUUUAGUCCAUUUUUGCACAAAACACAAAAUACAUAAAUUUUGCCCACAUUAUGUUAGGGCCGAAUAUUUCAUAGACCCAUAUAGAUCCUUGCAUGUCAUUUAUUUCACCUUUUAGUCCCUCAAUUAAAUAUUUUCUUACAAAUUAAUCCAAAAUAAUUAAAUUCAUCAAAAAUUCAAGAACACACAUCAUAAUCUAUCACAUAUCUUUCAUAUUUCAUCAUCAACUAUUAUCAAGCUCAAGUAUUCAUAAAUGACAUGUCUCAAAAUCACUAUCAAAUUCUAAAAUUAAAGCAUGGGCUAGAUAUAACACAAAGCAACGAUCACAAAAACGUAAAAAUCAUCAAAAACCGAAACCAAACAUACCUUAAAUCAAGCAUCAAAGAUGGCCGAAUAGCUUGGUUGUUCUUCUUUUAUUUUCUUUUCUUAGUUUCGAAUAGAUGAUAAGGAAAUAAAAGAUGAUGGUGGUCUUUAUUUGUUUAAUUAUAAUAUUAUAAUAUACUAUAUAUUAUAACAUUUAUAAUUAAUAUAAAAACUAUAUAUAUAUAUUAUACACAUAAUGCCGCCCACUAUUCUUAUUAAUGGUUAAAUUGCAAAACUAAACCUCCAUAUUAAAAGAACAACCACUAUUCAUCCCCUUUUUAAAAAUAACCAUUAAAUUUUUAUUUUACGCGAUUUAAUCCUUUUUAUUUAAUCGGACACUCAAACGGCGAAUUUAAAGCACGAAAUUUUUACACUAGUAAAUUCACACAUAAUAAACACAGAAAAUAAUAUUAAAAUAUUUUUUUGACUCGGACUUGUGGUCCCGAAACCACUAUGUCCGAUUAGAGUCAAAACCGGGUUGUUACAGAGGGGAUCGAAGAUAGCAGAUCUUGUCUUCUUAUAUUUGACAGUGGAGGAGAUCGAAGAUAGCAGAUCUUAUCUUCCUGUAUUUGGCAGUGGAGUAGAUCGAAGAUAGCAGAUCUUGUCUUCCUGUAUUUGGCAGCAGAGGAGAUCAAAAAUAGCAGAUCUUAUUUUCCUAUAUUUGGCAGCGAAAGAGAUCGAAGAUAGCAGAUCUUGUCUUCCUGUAUUUGGCAGCGGAGAGGAUCGAAGAUAGCAGAUCUUGUCUUCCUGUAUUUGGCAGCGAAGGAGAUCGAGGAUAGCAGAUCUUGUCUUCCUGUAAUUUGUAGUGGAGGGAUCGAAGAUAGCAGAUCAUGUCUUCCUGUAUUUGGCAGCGGAGUAGAUCAAAGAUGGUGAAUCUUAUCUUCCUAAUACAGUGGAGAAGCAGAUUUAAGCCAUUAGUCCUAUCACCCUAAGCAGUAGUGGAUUAGGUUAAAGAUUACAGAUUCUGUCACCCUAAGCAGUAGUGGAGCAGAUCGAAGAUGAUGAAUCUUAUCUUCCCAAUACAGUGGAGAAGCAGAUUUAAGCCAUUAGUUCUAUCACCCUAAGCAGUAGUGGAGUAGGUUGAAGAUUGCAGAUUCUAUCACCCUAAGCAGUAGUGGAGUAGGUUAAAGAUUGUAGAUUCUGUCCCCCUAAGCAGUAGUGGAGCAGAUCAACAAUAACGAAUCUUACUGCGAAUCUCAUCCCCCUGAAGUCGCAGCAGAGUGGAUUGAAGCCACAAGUCAUAUUUCUUUUUGAAGUUGCAGUGGAGUGGAUCGAAGCAACAAGACACGGUAGACUGGAAUGAAGCUACUUGAAGAAGAGAAGCACCAUAACAAGUCAAGAAUUGGCAAGGCCGGGCAAAAUGGGCCUUUCUUAGUCUUUGCUCUGUUAUCGUUACACGACAACGAGCAAAGAGGGGCAGCUGUACAGGCCCAUUUUGACCUAACCCAUUACAACCCAUAACCCAAACAGACCCAAAACCUACCCAGGCCCAACUAGCCUAACCCAAUCCCGGAGCCCAAAUGCAAAACCCAUUACCCAAAACACAAAUCAUAAAAAAAGAAACCCUAACCCUAGGUGCGCCGCACCUAGGGCCUUCUGACAUUGCCGCCGCAACUGCCACCAUCGACUCACCCCACUUGCGCCGCGCAUGUCCUGUCGUCCUCACUUGCUUCACCUGCAAACAGGCAACAACCAAAGAAAAGAAAGGAAAAAGAAAACAAAAAUAGAAAUUAAGAUCGGCUAUAAAAAAAAGCCAAAAUGUAACUCUCUUGUCUCCCCGGGCAACUUUUGUAACAAACAAAAACAGAUUCAAUCGAAAGAAAAUAAAAAGAGCAGAUUCAAGGUGUUGUUUUUUUCUUUUUGGUUCUGAAAGAUUUUUCUAGUUUAUUCUCUUUUCUUUUCGUUCGCAUAUAUAUAAAUAAAGGCAGUAAAUAAAAGAAAAAUGAGGUACCUUUCUCCCUGCGCCCUACUGGAGGACGAGAAGACAAACGGUUUUGUCCUGUUUUUGAGUCUUCGACCUCCUUUUCGUGGGUUUCGGCCCUGGAUCUGAGGUCUAGGAGUAAUCAGCCUCAAAAAGGGACCAAAAAGGUCCGAUUUUGGGUCUCCGACCGCCACACAUGGUGGUGCUACGGCGAAAACCCGCCGGAAACCAUGGCCGGAUCUAGGCCGGAAUUUGGGGAGAAGAAAGGGAGAGGGAGAAAUUUCAGAUUUUUUCAAAAAGAAAUGGCUGAAUGAUUUUUUUUCAGAAAAAUUGGGUUUAAAUACCGCUAAAGAAACGACGCCGUUUGAAGGAGGGAAAACCUGCGCACUCUUGCCCUAAUGGAUAAUUUGCGCCUUUGGUCCCUCUAAUCCUGCGGUACAUUCAAUGCUGCCUUUUGUUUCAUUUUAAUUUUGGCCACGAAUUUCACGUCUGUUUCAAUUUGGUCCGUGAACCCUGUGCAUGCGCUGCACUGUAACGACACCAUUUAAUCGACGUGGGGAAAUUGCCCUUUUGAUCCCUUCUCUUUUGUGCGCCUUACCUUUUAAUCCUUUCGUUCUUUUUAUUUCGAGCCCAAACUUUAAUUUCGUUUUCAAUUUAAUCCCAUUUUUGUUGUUUAGAUUAUUUUAUUUAAAAUUACUUGUUUUAAUAUUAUUAAUAUCAUUAUACAAUAUUAUUAUAAUAUUAUUAUUGAUAUUAUAAUCAAAUAUUUGGGCAUUAUGUACUUAUAUUCUAUAUGUUGUAUCCUAUAUACAUAUUAAUGUAUUUUGUUAUUAGAUACACAUUUUAAAACAUAUACAUAUAUAUAUUUUAUAAUCUAUGUAUAUAUGCAUGCAUUUUUAUUAUCUUAAUAUAUACGUACAUAUUUUAGGAUAUAUAUAUAGGCAUACAUUUAUCCCUUUAUUAUUAUUUAUGUACAUAUUUAUGUAUUUAUAUACUUCCCUAAUAUAUAUAUAUAUAUAUAUAUAUUAUAUUUUAUACCUUAUAUUAUAUAUGUCCUAUAUAUACGUUUUCAUUUUCAUAUAUACAUUUGGUGUUAAUUUAUUUAUUUAUUUACAUGCUCAUUAUUAUUAUUUACUUAAGUGCUUUAAUUUUUAUUUGUUUAUUUAUUGAUUUCUUUUUAUUAUAUAUUUGUCAUCUUAUUUAUUUAUCUUUUCUUAUUUUGCUUGUAUUAUUUUAUUUGCAUUAUCAUCAUUAUUAUUUUACAUUCAUUUUUUACUCGGAUUUAUCCAAAAAUGGAAAAUUUCAAAAUAAAAAUAACACUCGAUAUUUGAGAUCUUUGAGAGAAUCGAGUCCUAACGUAUUGGGUUCCGAUUUUCUUUGUUGAAUCAAAAUAAUCGAGAUUACUCUUUUAAAAAUGAAAAAAAGUGCGUUAUCGAGAAUUCAAUAUAUUGUGUCCUAACGCAUUGGAUGUGACAUGUUGUUUUCUCGAAACGAGGAUUUUUUGAAAUAAAUGUAAUAUUCAAUGUUUAAUAUUUUGAUAAAUUGUGCCCUAACGUAUUGGGUUGCGAUUUCUUCAUUUGAUUUAAACAAUUGAAUAUUCUUUUAAACUUUAUUACACGAAUCUUUUCAAACUCAAGUUUUAAACGAUAUCGGGAAUUAAAAAAGGAUCGUGUCUUAACUUACUGGUCGUGAUCCCUUUUUUAUCCAAAAAUAGUUAAAUAAUCUUUUGAACAAGCAUUUGUAUUCGCGUAUCGGGAAUUCGAGACAUUGUGUCCUAACUUACUGGAUAUGAUGCUUUCUUUCUCGAUUAACGUGGAAUGUGCCCCCUUUUCCCAAAAUUUUCAACUUUUUAAUACAAGGAUCGUAUUUUUAAAUUCUUCAAAGUUUUCACUCUUCGACACUAAGACAUUAAGUAAUCAACUAGGUACCAAUUUUGGGCGUAUCGAGGGUGCUAAUCCUUCCUCGUGCGUAACCGACUCCCGAACCUGUUUUUUUGAAUUUCGUGGACCAAACUUGUUGUUUUAAUAAAAUCAAACCGUUUAUUAAAAACAACCCAUUUUCGAGGUGAUCCAAUCACACAUCAUAAAAAAAAGGAUUGGUGGCGACUCUCGUUUUCGUUUUCAAAAUCCAAGUCGACCCCGUUUUCCAUCCAGAAAAUGGUGUCAACACCUUGCUUAAUUAGUAGUUUGAAUAUUGAUAAUACUUUGACUGAUUUAGGGGUUAGUAUUAAUGUGAUACCCUAUAAAAUGUUUAAACAGUUAAGUCUUGGGAAACCCAAACAAACUAGGAUGAGUAUUCAAUUAGCAGAUAGAAUCAUUAGAUAUCCUAGGGGUGUUAUUGAAGAUGUGCUUGUUAAAAUCGAUAAAUUUAUAUUUCCCGUUGACUUUGUUGUAUUAGACAUGGAUGAGGGUAGUGAGGUACCUUUAAUUUUAGGGCGACCAUUUUUAGCAACUGCUAGAACUAUAAUUAAUGUUAGUACAGGUGAGUUAGUCCUUCGUGUAGGUGAUAAGUCAAUUAUCUUCAAGCUCGUGAUUCAGUUAGAACAUCUAGUGAUCGAGAUGAUUUUAAAUCUUCUAUUAAUGUUAGUGACCAUGUGGCUCAACAUUCUUUGCAAGAAACCCCUCAAAAAAUGUAAUGGAGCCAUGUUCCAGUUAAUACGAUAGAAACAGAAUGAUUUAUGAUAAACAAAUGUUACAAAUCGAUGAACUAGAUGAAUGGCAGACACAUGUCAAGGAGAAACCGAAAAAGCUUGAUGAAGAGCCGAAACAAUGCCAUGAUGAGAACAUGGAUGGAACGAACCAAUUUAAGGCUGGGAAAAAUGUACAAUUAGACAAAAUGGAUCCACGAAAUACCCUUUCGGAGCUUAAUGCAAAUGGAUCAAACUCAUUUACGGUAAUGAACGUCUUCCCAUUCGGUACAGUCGAGGUUACUCUUUCUGAAUUUGACACAUUUAAGGUAAACAAUACUCGACUUAAACCUUAUCUUGGUAGAAUUAUUGAUAGCGAGAAAGAGAAGCUCGACCCCGCGAACCACCGUGACCACGCAUGUAUAAGGUAAGUCAAGUUUAAACUUUAAAUAAGCGCUUCUCGAGAGGUAACCAUAAUCUUCUUCACUAUUUGUGUUUAUUUUCUUAUUAGUUUACUCGAAUCAUGCAUUACCUACACCAUUCUAGCAAUUUCAUCCAAUAUUCAGGGCAGUUUCAGUUUUCUCCCGCUCUUAUGAUAUUCUGCUUAUACUGUGAUUAUAUCUAUUUGUACAUUGAGGACAAUAUACAUCUUAAGUGUGGGAAGGUUAUUUAUAUCAUUAUUAGAAAAUACCUGAAUUAUGUCUUUUAUUUAAGUAAUUUUCUCAUACUUCCAUUAGAAUGAAUUUUUGUUGAUUUGGAAUUUUUGUUGAUGUGUUUUAGAUUAAUUUGUAGAUAUUUGUGUAUUGGUUGAUUUAAACUUGAAGGUGUGGGAGAAUCAAGUAUGAUAAGUUAUUUUUCAAAAAUUUAAAAUUUUUAGGUUGUUUCCCUAAAUUAAAGUAUUAUCUUGACGUUUGAGAUUUGCGAAGAUUGACAUCAAAAACCAUGAUUUUUGUGAGAUUUUGAGCCUUUAGAGCAUACAUUUUUCUUGCUUAUUUUAUUAUUGGUUAUGAGUGAGUCAACCUGAUUUGUUAUUCUAGAACUUGCUUUAACUAUACAUGUCGAGACCACACAUUUGAUUUGAUAUACAGAGAUGAUAAAGGCACCUAGGUUUUAACCCAUUUAUCCCAUAAAAAUCCUACCUUCGUAAUUAACCCUUAGUGAACCCCGUUGAGCCUAACACACCGUCUCUUGAUUUACCCAUUUAUGUUAACCCAUAACUCAUUUUUUGUUCAUUGAAACUUUUUCCCAUUUUAUUGACUCCUUUUUUGUCAAUAUUUGAUUUGGUUAGUUGCUUAACUAUGCUCUUCUGUUUGAUUUGCUGAACUAUUUCUAAUUGUUCUAGAAAAAAAUUAAAAAAAAACAAAAAAAAGGAAAAAAAAUGAUUAUUAUUUAGUUCUAUGUUGAUUGAGCUUGAACAGUUAAAUUCAUAUUUUAAGAAGAAGCUUGUUUUUAUUCUUAAAUAAUUCUUGAUUCAUACUUUUUUUAAUUCAACGUUUGUUUAUUUUUUUUCUAGUUUGGUAAUGUAUCAAUUCAAUCUCGAUUAUAACCAAAUUUUCUGGCCUUUCUCCACACCCUUAACCUAAGCCCCAUUACAACCUCCUAAAGAACUUUUGAUUAGUGUAUCAUCUCAUUUUAUAGUGGUGGAGAUUUGAUUUUCAUGUAAGCCUAUGGUAAUAACCUUUCCUGUUUGACUAUAGAGUGCUUAUUUGUGAACUUUAAACUCUUUGAGUGAUUUGAGUGAAUCUUUAGUGAGGAUGUCGAUUCUUGUCGAUUUUGAAUUAAAGGUAAUUACUUAGAUAAGGGAAGACACCUAUGUUUCCGUGUUUAAAAAUGUUAGCUUGGAUUGUUUGAGACUUUAGUAAUCUUUUAGUUGAAUUGUCAAUGCAUGAUUAUUUGUGAAUUAUUGACGUUAUUGAUGAGAAUUACAAGUUGAGAAAUAUUAAUUUUAAUGUGAGUUAAGGAUUUUGCUUGAGGACAAGCAAAUGCUUAAGUGUGGGGAUAUUUGAUAAGCUAUAAAAGUAACAUAUUUUAAUCACAUUCUUAAUGCGUUUUUGGAUGAUUAAUUAUGUAAAUUAGUGAAUUUGAUACUCUUAAUCCUUUAAAUUCAUGUUUCUAUGCUUAGGAGAGAGCAUUUGAGAGCGAAAGGAGCGAAAAAUAAGUCAAAAUUAGACAAAUAGAGAUGUUUUCAGGAGCCACACAGCCUGGGCAUUUCCACACGGGCUGAACACAUGCCUAUGUGCCAGUCCGUGUCGAUUUCGCGUCCUACUUCCCAAAUACACGGAAAAACCCAAUUUUUAGGCUUUUUGAGCAUUCUAAAGUCUAUAAAUACCCAUGAGAAGGAGACAUAAGAGAGCAAUCAGAGAGGAUCGAAGAAAACACUCGAAGAACACCAUCAGAAUCAACUCGGAAGCGGAUCUCCAUCAAGAUUGAAGAUCUCCUUUUAAUUUCUUCCAAAGUUUUAUUGAGUUUCUUUAUGUCUUGUGGUUUUUCUGACUUUAAGAUGUUUUCAUUCAGGAUUAUGAACUAAUCCACUUGAUACUUAGGGGAGAUGAAACCUAUGAUGAAUCCUAUUAUUUAAUUUUUGUUUUAUGUGAAAAAUAUUUUAUUAUUAUUCUCAAUUAUGUAUGCUUAUUUCUUGUUUUAAUAUUUUUGGGAUAUUAAUUCAUGUUUAAUGUGCUUAUUUCAGUGGAGUAAAAGUCCUUGUUUAAGAGUAGAUUUAGCAUAAUUGAGUGGAGUUGAAUACAAUCCUAGAAAUAAGAUGACAUAAAUCUACCGGAUUAGAGUCAAAUAUAAUAGGGGAAUUCAUAAAUCGAGUUAAUGCGACAAUAGGGGUUUUAAUUAGAAAGAUGUUUCAAUUAAUCAACCAAGAGCCAGUUGUUCUUACUCUCGAAAAAGAUAUUAACAUAAUUUAUGGAUUUCUACGGAUCAUGACACAAGUGAAUAAAUCGUUUAAUUUAGAUUCAUAAUAAUAGGUGAAGUCUAGGAGGAUUCUUUUCUGGGUAUUGUCUAUCUCAUUGGUUAAUAUUCGAUUAUUUCUUUGAUUUAUUCUCUGUCGCGUUCUUAGUUAAAUUAGUUUAGUAAUUUGAGAUUAAAACACAAUCACUCCAAUUUGUCGGCUAAAUAAUAAGAAGACGGUAAUUCUAGUACUUUUAGUCCUCGUGGAUACGAUAUUCUCUACUCACCAUAGCUAUACUAUUGUUCGAUAGGUGUGCUUGUCUUUGUCGUAUUUUUAGUUAGUUUAGUGACCAUCACCAGAUUUUGAAAAACAUGGAAAUGUUGUGUCAAUUAAACAAGUCCUUGAGGGAAGAAGUUAUCAUUCUCAAAUGAGAAAAAAAAAGCUUGAAAUUGUGGUAAAAAAAGAUGAUGUUAUCGCUAAUAUUAAGAAGGCUAACACAGUGCUUGAUGAAACUAUCAAAGUAAAUGAUGAGUUCAUUACCAAAAUAGAUGCUAACACAGUGCUUGAUGAAACUAUCAAAGUAAAUGAUGAGUUCAUUACCAAAAUAGAUGUAACUUUGAAAGAAAAUGAGCAAGAAACCUAUAACUCCUACAAUUUCUAUUAAAAUGUGUUCUUCUUCUCUCGAGACAGAUAAAAGGAAAAAAAACAAAAGCUUAUUUGUUAUCAUUAUGGAAAGAGUAGACAUAUUAGCUUUUAUUGUCACAAGUUAAUGAAUGAUCAAAGGAAAUGCAAACCACGUUGCAACAAUUAAUAGAACAAUACCUAGAUAGCAACGCAAAGGUAACAAAGAAAGAAGAAACUUCGUAUGCCAUUAUUGUGGGAAAGAAGGGCACAUCAAACCCCAUUAUUUUAAGAUGAUGCAAGAUUAGCAAGAGUUUAGCUUGAUUGCUAAAACAAUGAAUGGAACAAGAAGACCACAACAUAGACAAACUUGGGUGAGGAAAAAUUGAGCACAUUUAAGUAAGAAAGAUCAAUAUUUGAUUGAUGCUCAUGUGAAGCAUGAAGUUGCAACAGAUGAAGAUCUUAUUAAAGAUAUAUCAAGUAUUAAACAAACUUCUAGAUUUUGUGGAAAAGUGUUUGUUGUUCUACAAGUUACAACCCAUCUUGUUGAUAAGGUAGCAUUCAAUCUCAUCCCCUCUAAACAACAUGAUGAAAAUCGAUAGUAGAUGGAUAAAGUAAGGGGAAGUAAUGAUGCUGAUUUGAUAAUUUUGUCUACUUUGAUUUCAUUUUUGGUUAAUUUCUUAUGAAUGCUACAUUUCACUUUGUCAAAGAGAGAGAUGAUUGUUGAUUUUUUAAAACUAUAAUGUUUAUAUGUUAUUGUUUAUUUAUGACCUUUGUGCACGUUUAAUUGGUUAUGUGAUGAACAAUCGUAUUGAUAGGGGGAGUGUUUGAUCAAGCAUGGUUUUAACUCUUAAAGGGAGACAUAUUCUAAUUUCCUAGCUAUGUGCUUGUUUGGAUUGUUGGCUAACUAUUUGUUGCAAAGUUUUUUCAAAAAUGCCAAUGGAGAGAUUGUUGGGAAAGUUGUUGUUGUUUCUUCCAUGUCCUAUUAUAACAAAAUUGUUUCUCUACUUAGGCCAUUGACUUGGGCCUUGGAUAGGUUUUUUUUAGCCUGAGUUCAAUCCACUUGAAUUUAACAUGUUUGACAAAACAUGAAACAUGGUUUGAUUAGAAUUUUAAAAACUCCCAACCAAAUUGCUUGAGGUGAUUGGAUAAGUAUGAAAGUCUUAUUGUCUAUUGAGAGAGUUUUGGAGCUAUUAGAAGACGAAUUUAUGAAGAUUUUUAUUUGAUAAAUAUUCAGGAUAAUUAAUGGGAUAAUUUUAACUUUUAAAUAGGAGUUUAAAGCUUAUCAAAACUUUAUUGGAUGAACUCUUGUAUCAACCUAUAAAUAGGCUACUCGUGGUAUCACUUAAAGAGCAGCUUUUGAAGUGUCUUUGUCAACAAUUUUGUUGUACUUUCUUGUGGUUAUUUUGUGACACUCUUUUAGGUAUUCUUUGAAGAGUUUAUUGAUUGUAUUAUCAAGUAUUUGGGUGAGUAAUUUGUGACAAUUGGGAUCAAUAUUAAGACUAAAAUUAUGUCUUUGUGAAAGGUAUAUUGGACUUAAGCCAAUAGGUAAUCCAGACGAUGGUUGAAUAAAAUAUGGUUGAAUAAAAUCAUUCACUAGAUGAGGCUCUAUAGACGUAAAAUCGUUGUGUCUGAAUUAACAAAGAUCAGUUGUGUCGAUUCUUUUUUACUCUUAUUUUUUUACAUUACCUAUUUUCGUUCUAAUUGUCAUUAGAACGAACAUUAAGCAAAGUUAAUUUAUCAUAUUUGUAGACUAAUUGUUUUUAAAAAUUUUUAACAAUUCUCAAUCAAUAUGCUUAUGUAUUCAAGUUGAUGUAAAAAUUUGCUAAAAACAUAUGCUCAUUGUCUUACACAGGAACCCAAAUUCUUGUAAAAUAAGUUGGAAUCUUUCUAACUCGGAUGUGGGUAUAUAUCUAACACGAUCAUGCUUAAUUUUCCCUAAGUUUUGUAAGUUUGGAAUAUCAUACCAUCGUACUCAUUCAAAUACUUAUGAGAUGUAAAUAUUUUAAGAAAAUGGAAGGCUGAAAAUGUUGGCACUGACCCAAUUUGGUUUUGCAUGUCUAUAUAUAUUAUCACCAAGAACUAGUCUGCAAUAACUUUGGACAUAAGGAUUACCAACAGUUAGGGUCUAAUAAGGUGGCCUAAGCUUAGUAGAAAAAGGGGGCUUUUCCAAUACAUUCCAUAGACUUGCAAAGCAUUUGGGCUCAACUACCUAUCCUAGUGGCUAGAAUUCAAGUUGCUUCUUUAAUUGGUGGUGUCGAAACCAUUUUUAUUUUGAAAAACGGGGUCGACUUGGAUUUUGAAAAAAAAAUGAAAAUGGGAGUUGCCACCGAUCCUUUUUAUUUUGGUGUGAUCGGGUCACCUCAAAAAGUAGUUAUUUUUAAUAAGCGAUUUGACUUUAUUAAAACAACGAGUUUGGUCCACGAAAAUCAGAAAAAAUGGGUUCGAAAGUCGGUUACGUACGAGGAAGGAUUAGCACUCUCGUAACGCCCAAUAAUUGGUACCUAGUUAAUUAAUUAAUGUAUUAAUGUCGAAAAUUGAAAAUUUUGAAGAGAUUUAAAAUAUGAUCUUUUGUUUUUUUUUAAAAACUUAUAUAAAACAAGUUACUCGAUAAGACCCUCUCAUUUCGAAAAGAGAAAAUGUCACACCCAAUGAGUUAGGGCAUGAUAUUUCACUUCCUCAAAAACAAGCUUGUCCAAAAAAACUCGUGCAAUAAAAUUUAAAAGGAUGUUCAAUUGUUUAAGUCAGAUGAAUAAAUCGCAGCCCAAUACGUUAAAGCACAAUUUCUCAAAAUUCUAAACAUUGAAUGUUACCUUUAUUAUUUUUAGAAAAAAUCCUCAUCUCGAGAAAAUAACGUGUCAUAUCCAAUGCGUUAGGACACAACGUAUUGAAUUCUCGAUAAUGAGCUUUUUAUUUAUGUUUUGAUUAAAAAGUAUUCUCCAUUAUUCUGAUUCAACGAAAGAGUUGGAACCCAAUACGUUAGGGCUCAAUCCUCUCGAAGAUUUCAAAUACCGAGUAUUGCAUUUAUUUUUUCAAAAUUUUCUGUUUAUACGAAUUUGGGUAAAAAUUAUAUAAUGGAGUAACAAUUGUGAUAAUAUAAAUAUAAAUAGCAUGAUCAAGAACAAUAAUAAUAAUAAUAAUGAAAAGAUAAAUAAAAAAACAAAUCAAUCAUGUAUACACAAUAUCAAGUAAAUAAACAAAUAAAACCGAAGCAUUUAAAGAAUAUAAUAAUGAUAAUAAUGGUCAUGUGAAUAAAUAAAUAAAUAAAUAAACAUCAAGUAAAGCAAUAAUAAUAACAAAGAAAUAGAUAAAAUUAUAAAAUAUAAAAAUAUAUAUAUGUACAUAUAAGAAAAAUAUAUAUGUAUGUGAAUUAUAAAAAAUAAAAAAAUAUAAAUAUACAUAUUUUAAUAUGUAAUAUAUAUAUAUAUAUAUAUAUAAGUAUGUAAAUAAAUUUAUGAAACAUAAAAUAUAUAUAAAAGUAUGUGUAUAUAUAUAUUUAUAAAAAUUAAAAAAUGUGUACAUAUAUGUAUAUAUUAUAAAACGUAUGUAUGUAUACAUGCAUAUAUAUAACAAAAUUUGAAAUUUAAAGGCAUAAAAAGUAAAUAAUAAUGAUACAAGAUUAAUGAUGCCACAUAAUAGUAUUAAUAAUAUUAAAAUAAUUAAUUUAAUAAUAAAAAAACUAAAAUAACAAAUAGAGGAUUAAAUAGCAUCAAUAAUCAAAGACCAAUGAACUUAAAACAAAGAGUAUAAAAAAAAGGCAAAAUAAAAUGUAAACAAAUUUGAAAAUAAUGAAUUUGAAAAUGAAUAAUAAGAGAAAAAGAGAUUUGAAAUCAACAAUAUACAGAUCAAUAAAUAAAUUAUACACAAAUCAACAAAAUAAGAACAAGCCACAGAAAAUAAGAACGCAAGAGAGAGAGAAAUUUGAGUGAAUACUCUUAAGAAUUAUUAUUACACGCAACUCCAGCCCCUUACAAUGAAGGGAUAUGCCUCUGUUUAUAGUUGAGCCUCCCCAAAUCCAAUGUUACAGAUCAAUUACAUCAACGGCUAAGAUUAAAGGGUAUCUACAAAUUAAAUCUCUAAGAUUAUAAAAUCAUAUCUUCUAAAAUUGCAUAUCAUAUCUAAGAUUGCAUAUCCUUGAAGAUUAUGUUUCCAUAAACUUGUAAAUGGACCUUCAACCUUUUCAAGUAAUGGGCCAUUCCGAUCGGGCCAAAUGAUAUUAUUGGACUUAGACUUUGUUUUAUUAUUUUGGAUUUAUUAUUUUUUUGUGAGCCCGGACUAAAAUUGGGUAUUACAGGUAGUGUGGUUCAAUUCAAUUAAGGUUGAAUUUGAUAUUUUUUAGACAAGGAAAACAAUAAUAUGAAAAGGGGAUAAUACAAAUAGAGCGUGUUAAAGUCUAUGUAAAACGAAGUAUUAAGAAUACGUAAUACCCUAAGUAGGGUUGUGACACAAGAAACUAAUAUAAACAUGAGUUUAAGAAUCUAGAAAGAUUUAAAUAUCAUUAUAAAAGAAGGGAAAAAAAAAUUAAAGAAGUAGGUUUGGUAAGUAGCUCAGCCUAAACUUGCUGGCUAACAGAGUUGUUAGAGAAUCGAGAAAUGAAAAAUAUUUGCAUGGAGUUUUCAGAGAAAACAGUACAUUAAUUCCUAAGAUGACUGGAUUUUAUGAUUUGACAAAAGGCUUGUUUUAUAAGGUUCCAAGUUUGGACACUGUGGCAUAAGCAGCCUUAUGCAGAAAAAUAAUCUUUCUACACCAAAGAUACCAACUGUCCUAUGGUUGCAGCAGCCAGCAGAUAUUAUAUAUCCAAAUUAUUUAGUAUGGGUCCUUCCAUCUGGUCAAGUUCAAAGUAGUAGUUAACCUGAACCACUUCUUUGUAUAAAUAUUUUAGUUGAAUUACCUUCCACAUAAUCAAAGCAUUCAUGACUCAUGAGAAUCCUUCAAUAAAUCAAGUUUCUUCAUAUUUAACUAACGAAAACAAAUUUUGCGUCAAGAAAGGAAAAAAAUUUUCUAUUACAAAUGGUUGCAGAUACUAAGAUUUGAAAUCCAAACGUAUGAAAUGCCACCUCAACAAGUUUCUUUUCUCGUACAUGUCCCUAGCUUUAGCCAUGAAAUUUUGGAACUCUUCUUAGAACAGGAUUUGAAUGAACAUGCAGAAAAGUGGUGCAUUAAAUGGGGAUUAGUUUCAUAUUUAGAAACUUAAUAUCAGUACCAAACUUGGUAAAACAAUCGCUUUGUGACCAUUUCAAACAGAGGCACUUUGGGGAAUGGGCUUCGAUGUAGCCAAAAGUCUUUCGUUUCUUGCCAGUUGCCACGUAAAAAAGACUAGCUAGCCAAAACUUGGGAUCAUUGGCAUAAUUUUCUCAAAGCUUUUAAUUAAAGUGUGAACGUCAAUCUUGGACGUUUUCAAUCCCUUUGUCAGGAUAUUUUAUCCGUUGUUUAAUGUCAUUUUCGACUACCAAUCUUUUAACAACUCGUAUUUUUUUAUUUGAUAACUUUGUGCAAAAAAUCUAUGUAUUUUUUUUGAUCAACGUUGAUGGGUUAUGAAUGAAGCCACCAAGUAAUUUACGAGAAAUUUUGCUUCAAUUGGUAAAACUUUAUCACUAGCUAAUAUAUAGGUAACUAGAGGUGUCCAUGAGUAGGACCGGGCCGGGUUUGGGCUAGGCCCACAAAAAAUUCAGCCCACUUCCUAGGCCCGGGCUCAGCCCGGCCUGGCCCGAAAUAUGGGCCUGAUAUUUUACCCAGGCCCGGCUCGGGGAAAAAUAUGGAACUUGAGCCCGGCCCGGCCCGUUUUUUAAUUAAAAUUAAAAUUAUAUUUUUAUUAAAAUUAAAACUAAUUGUUAUUAAAAUUGUAUCAAAUUAUAUUUUUUUAUACUAGUCAACAUUUUGUAAAAUCUAACAUUUUGUUAGUAAAAUUAUUAAUUGUUAAUUGAAUUAAUUGUUACUAAAACUAGUAUAUUUUAAAAAUAAAAUAUAUAUAUAUAUUUAACAUAUUUUCGGGCUGGGCCGGGCUCGGGUCAAAAAAAUUUUACUCGAGGCCCGACCCGUUUUCUAAACGGACCUCAUUUUUUACCCAAGCCCAUAUUUCAGGCUUAUAUUUUUACUCAAACCCUCCAAUAUUUCGGGCGGACCGCCGGGCCGGGACGGGCCGCCCGGCCCAUGGACACCUCUAUAGGUAACUGUCAAAGAAAACGCUGACUUUGGAGCUCAAUGAGAGCUCCUACAGACUCUUAAACCUCUAUAAAUUGGAAUGAUUUUGGUCUUAUUUUAUUACUAAAAAUCAUCAGCUUUACAUACAAGUUACAUAGGUUUUUUGGGGGUUAAAACUAGAGGUGUCCAUGGGCUGGGCGGCCCGGCCCGGCUUGACGGCCUGCCCGAAAUAUGGGAGGGUUUGAGUAAAAAUAUAGGCCCGAAAUAUGGGAUUGGACAAAAAAUGAGGCCAGUUUAGAAAACGGGCCGGGCUCGAGCCAAAAAAAUUUUGCCCGAGGCCCGGCCCGGCCUGGCCCGAAAAUAUAUUAAAUAUAUAUAUAUUUUUUAUUUUUAAAAUAUACUAGUUUUGGUUUUAUUUUAAGUUACAAAAUGUUAGAUUUUGUUACAACAAUUAAUACAAUUAACAAUUAAUAAUUUGAUAUAAUUUGAUAAUUUUACUAACAAUUAAUACAAUUAACAAUUAAUAAUUUUACUAACAAAAUGUUAGUAACAAUUAAUAAUUAAUAAUUUGAUACAAUUUGAUAAUUUUAGUAACAAUUAAUACAAUUAACAAUUAAUAAUUUUACUAACAAAAUGUUAGAUUUUACAAAAUGUUGACUAGUAUAAAAAAAUAUAAUUUGAUACAAUUUUAAUAACAAUUAGUUUUAAUUUUAAUAAAAAUAUAAUUUUAAUUUUAAUUAAAAAAUAGGCCGGGCCGGGCCGGGCUUGGGUUCCAUAUUUUUCCUCGGGCCGGGCCUGGGCAAAAUAUCAGGCCCAUAUUUCGGGCCGAGCCCGGGCCUAGGUAGUGGGCUAAAAUUUUUUGUGGGCCCGGCCCAAACCCGGCCCGUCCCGGCCCAUGGACACCUCUAGUUAAAACAAGUUACAUAGGUAUUUACUCUUGCUUAAUAAUAAAUUAGAAUUAUUUUCUAGAAUUAGAAAAAAAAAGGAAAAUAUAAUUGAGGAAUUUUUUGUAAAAAACAAGGUUAUUUGUCUUCCUUUUCAUCUUUGAUCCCUGUGACUUAUCCCAUCAUUAUUAGUGUAAUAAUAUGGAAAAACAACUUAUUUAUUAUACAUGUAUUACAAUAUUUAGAUAUAAAAUAAACAAUAAAUAACAUUUGGUAUACUGUUAUUGAAAUUUUUAGACUCCACGAGUUGACAAAUAUUUUAUAAGGUAUAAUAAAAUAUUUAAAAAAUAUAUAAAAAAGACACAUGAUUAUCUUGUAAAGAUGUUUGUGGAAUGAAAAAAAUCCACGCGAAUGUACCAAAUACUAAUUAACAAAGAAAAGUUAGUAUAAAUUUAAACUUGAAAUUAGAAAGAUAAUAAUAAUUAUAAUAAAAUAAAAUAAAACUUCUUCAAAAUAAGAAAAAAUUUUACUUCUCUUUGUUAAAAAUAAAUUAUCAAGUAAUUAAAUAUUACCAAUUGAAUUAAUUUAUUGAUAACCUAUAUACUAAAACAUAUCUAAAAUUUAACACUCCUACCGAUGUUAGCAUUAAGUCUAUUAUAAGAUUCGAUUUUAUGAUUAUUACCACCAUAACCACGACGUAACUUAGAACGUAGUUGCAAAUUAUCAUGGUGAAUGCUAAUCAAAUCUGGUAGAAGACAUCUUCCCUGUAUCCGAAUGCUGUUUUAUGAUCAAAAAGGGGAAAAAAAAAAAAGAAGCUAAGACUAUCAUAAACUUAUUGCAUUUCUGCUUCAUGAAUAAUGUUACUUGUAUGUUAAUUUGAUUGAGUUCUACGUAAAAUUUGAUGGAGCCUUUGCAGCAUAAAUAGUAAAGAAAUAAAUGAACAUUGAUUAUCUUCAUUGAAAUAAACCGAAAAAAAAGGGCCACCCACAGAAACAAAAAAGUCUUGUAUUCUUAAUUAUUAGAUCUUAAUUAUCAAUGAAUUGGCACUGAUAAGAUUGAAAGUUGAAUGAAAUAUUAAGAUAACAUUCAACUUGGAGAUGGUAGAUAAUUUAGAGGCAUGCCAUUAUCUCACAGCUUCUGGAGGAUUGCGUUGUUCCCAUUUAUUGAGUAAAAAAAUUUUAGAGGCAUACUAUUGGAUAAGAGGAAAGAACCCACAUAGUCAGAGACUGGUCACUUAUGCAUACAGAUCCAUGGAAUUAGUAAAAUGAAACAAGAUUAAAUGAUUAAAAUUUUGAAUAUAUAUAUAUAUAUUCUUCUUGAAAAGUCUUCGUGCACCUCCUCAGGUCUUAUAUAAGAUUACGUGGCCGGUUGCUUGUCAGAGUCUUUACCUGCUACUUAGCGAAAACAAUGACCAGAUCUUUGGUUUCCACCUAUAAAUAGCCAUGUCUGCCAUGCAAAGUUUCUCAAUCUUCUCCAAAGCAAUAGCAAACAACCGGCUAAGUCAAUAUAUCAUAAUGAAAGGAACUCACUUCACUGUUAUUGCUUUUACCCUCUUGGCUUUCGCUUGCUCAUUGGCCUCGGCCUUCGAUCCCAGUCCUCUCCAGGACUUUUGUGUGGCUAUCAAUGACAUCAAGAAUGGAGGUAGGCAUUCAAGACUUUAUGUUCAUACUGCCUAAGAUGAAGAACAUUCAGUUUAGCUUCCAUGCUUUAAUAUAACUUUCAACAUUUCUUCAUUGCAGUGUUUGUGAAUGGCAAAUUUUGCGAAGACCCAAAGCUUGCUGUGGCAGAAGAUUUCUUCUUCUCAGGCCUAAACAAGCCAGGGAACACAUCAAAUCUAGUUGGAUCAAAUGUCACCACCGUCAGUGUUGAUCAAAUACCAGGACUUAACACUCUCGGUAUAUCUCUUGUUCGGAUCGACUAUGCCCCUUACGGUCUUAACCCUCCUCACACUCACCCUCGUGGAACCGAAAUACUAGUCGUUAUUAAAGGCACACUUUAUGUGGGCUUCGUUACAUCAAAUCCAGACAACCGUCUCUUCACUAAAAUCCUAAACCCUGGAGAUGUUUUUGUCUUCCCUAUCGGUUUGAUUCAUUUUCAGUUCAACAUAGGGAAAACUGAGGCUGUUGCAUUUGCAGGUCUGAGCAGCCAAAAUGCUGGGGUUAUCACCAUUGCUAAUGCAGUGUUUGGCUCAAACCCACUGAUCAACCCAGAUGUUCUGACCAAGGCCUUCCAGUUGGACAAGACUGUGGUCCAAUAUCUCCAGUCCCGGUUCUGGUCGGAUUAACCACUCCUUUAAGAACCGAAUCAAAACCCCAGAAAUUUGACUGCUUGUUUGAAAUAAUGAUUCCAUGCAAUUUCUUAUUGAAGUCAUAGUAUUCUACUAAGUAUCAUGCAAUAAACAACCUGGUCUAUUAUGUACCUAUCCAGUCUCCUGAUUUGGGAUAUAAAAUCAGAAUAUGUAAUGCUCUAGGAUUUAAAUACGAUCAGCCACUAAUACAUAUACAUGUAGCAUUGUAUUUGGAUCAUAGUAGCCUUAACAAGUAAUCUCCCUUGCUUAUGUUCCGUACUACUUGAACACCUAUGUACAUAUGUUAAGGUAAACUUGAUAAGAAUGUUGCGAAAUCUCUUCAAACUCGAUUAUGAUGAAACAACAAAUCGAUUUUAAGAAAUGGCUUGAAAUUUACUCCUUGGGAAUUUUUUUUAAUGUAAUCCAAAUUCAUCUGUAUUUAAAAUAAUAUAUCUCAAACUCAAUUCAAGUAUAUAAAAUUAAAGAAAUAAUUAUACAAGUGAAUGCAUUAGAUAUGCAAGAGUUUUAACCAGAUGGGCGCUGCCUUUAACCUUGUGGCCUUGUGGAAUAGUAGGAGUUUUAAGUAGGAGAAGAUAGAUGUAAGAGAGUUUUAUUUUUAUUAAACUCAUCUGGAUAACAUCAACAAAUGAUUAGGUUUACGAUAAGAUAUUUUGUAAAAGAAAAUAUUUUUAUCUAUUUCUAAUUGACCUUGUAUCUAUUUCUAAGAAAGGAUAGUAGUACAUACCUCAUUUUGAUAAAAUGUUUACAUUUUUUUAAAUAAUUAAUAGUCAAAACUAUUAACCCCAUCAACCUUACUUUGCCUACACAGUUUCUUUCUUUCUCGAAUUCCUCCGCUUUUCCUUUUUCCUUUACUCAAUAUUAACCUAAAAGCUUUGAUUUUUAACUCUGAUUCCUUCCCCCACACCCCCACUUUCUCUUUGGCUUCUUGUUUGGUCCCACGAUCAUGGUAAAUAUAAUUAUGCGUGUUGUGUCAUAGCUUAUAUAACUGACUCGAAUUAUGACUACAAUGAUCAUCUUGUAGAGUUAUGUAGAGUUACUUUGCAUGCCUAAAAUAGUUCUUUACAUGUAAUUAUUAAGUAAAUUACGUUGUUUAUGUAGUUAAAUAAUUUUGUACUUCGUUUACUAGUUAAAAAAUUGGUCCAUAUAAACGCAACAUUAAGUAUAAAUAAUAAGAUUCGUUAAUUCGACUCGAAAUUUUUCGUCUCGAUUCGAAAAAAAUUUAAAUUGAGUUCGAUUGCUAAAAUAGGAUUCGUCAACUCGACUAACUCGAAAUUUCUUUAUUCAAUUCGAUUCAACUCGAUCGAAUGCUCACCCCUACCCAACACAAAUCUUGCUUUCCUGUCAUACCUUUAACCAAAUCCAACUUAAAUUUUCAUACAAGAAAGCGAAGGUGCUAUAUAUUGAUUUAACUGCACACUAUAACACCUAUGCUGACACUUUACAAACAACAAAACAACAAUUUGUCAUCUUCCAUUAAACCUUCUAUUUUUUCACUUUCUUCAUUUCAUUUGCUUUGCUUUGCUUUCAUCUCUGUCUUCCAUAAAUCAUUUUCUGUUUGUCAAAGGUUAAAAAGGAUUGAUUUUUUUUUUUUGAAACUGUUCUCAGUACGUAUAAUAAUGUGAUUAUAUACAUGUUAAUAUAGUACAAAAGAGCUAGCCAUAUAAUGGCCUUCAUAGCAGGAGUUUUCGUUGCCUGAACUCGUAUUCUUGUCUAUUUACUUGUUUGCUUACAUUUUGUAUGAUUGUGGCAUCCACAAAAAGACCAAUGGAAAAAUACCAGGACUUAAUAAAAAGCCAAAGUAGAUGCUUGGAUGGGAACCAAUGGGUGUCUCAGAAGGGCAUAAUUGUUGAUGAAUAAGUCAAUGAAAAAUAUUUGAAUUUAUACUGCUGUUCUUAUCUAUUUAUUUAUUUCUUUUUCUCAUUUCUUCUAUUCUUUAUAUUAUUGUACUGACCUUCACUUAGAACAUGUUUUACUAUGAUCUUCAAUAAAGCAUUUAUGGAGUAUGCAUAUUUAUACCGCUAAAAGAUUUGGCUGGAACAUGAAAAAGGAUAGUUUAGGGUAAACUAUGAUCAUUGGGAUUGUUGGCAUGAACCUUCUUUUAGUUUGGCUUUGAAAAGAUAUGAAAGUUGUAUGGCAAGUGAGGCACCAAGCUGGGCUGAUCAAUGGGGUUUUGAAGGGAUUGGUUCCAUUAAAGAUGAGGAUGCUGCUAUUGCCACGAAAAAGAUGGCAGCAACAAAUCCCAAGGACAAUGUGGGUUUCCUAGAGCCAAGACAACGGCUUUCAUGGGAGCCAAGAAACUCAAGCUGGGGGCAUCCAAAGCCAUAAAAUGGGUCAAGAAUAAAUCCCAGAAAAAAAAAACUCCAAAUGAAUAUACAAAUAGAGGUGUUCAUGGGCCGGGCCGGGCCCAAGAAAAAUUCAACCCGUUUCAUAGGCCUGAGCCUGGCCCGAAAUAUGGUCCUGAAAUUUUGUCCAAGGCUCGGCCCAAGAAAAAUACUAAGCCCGGCCCGAUGGCCCGCCCCAAAAAUGGGAGGAUUCGGGUAAAAAUAUAAGCCCGAAAUAUAGGCUUGGGCAAAAAAUGAGGCCCGUUUUUGGGCAAAAAAAUUUUGGCCCGGGCCCAGCCCGACCCUAAUAUAUAUUAAAUAUAUAAAUAUAUUUUAUAGUUUUCAAAAUAUGCUACUUUUAAGUUUUAAGUUAAAUGUUUUAAAUUUUUGUUUCACUUCCGUUUCCACCAAUCUUCCAAAAUCCCUAACCUAUCGUGCCCUCCUCCCUUUUUUUCCCAAUUCCAAAAUACCGAUCCACCUCCAAUCCUCCACCCAAUUUAAGGUAAAUGGAGCUCUAUUUUUAGAAUAAUUUUGUCAAAAUAAACCAUUCACAAUCGUUGUAUUUUGCUUAAUUUUUGCGUCUGAAUCUUUUAAGAAAUCAUUAACAAUGGAUCCCUUGAUGAUUCCCUUCCAUUUUUUGUCUGUUUGUUUCUGGUUAAUCUGGGUAACUUCAUUUUCUGUUUGGCUGUUUGUUUCUAGUUAAUCCAGGUAACUUCAUUUUCUUCUUCUUCUUCUUCUUCUUCCAUUUUCUGUUUGUUUCUGUCUGUAUUUUGCUUAAUGUUUACUAAUUAGUAAUUACAUUGAUCUCUUUUACUCGAAUUUGGUGCGAGUACUAGAUGCGGAUAUUUUGCCAAAUUCUUUUUUUAAGUUUCUGUUUCUGUCUGUAUUAAUGCGAGUACCAUAUUUCUGGUUAGUGCGAGUACCAUAUUUCUGCUUAAUGUUUGUUUCUGACUUUCUGUGUGUUUCUUUUUUUAACAUAGACUCCAAUAAUUAAUGGAUUUGGCAACAUGUGGUAGUGUUUUUCUUAUGAUGUUGAUUUGGUAUUUCAUUUCCUAUACAUAUAAAAUCAUUCAUUAAUUAAAGAAAAUAAUUGAUAGAAAUAUGUAGGAAAUUCUUAUCUAAUAUUGUUGAAAAAGCAACUUAGUUAAUUUCAGAAUAAAUUGAAUAGUUUAAGUCUUAUACUAUUAAAAAAUAAGCCGACAAGAGCGAUUGGUGAUAAUGUUAACUAUUUCCAUUAUAUUAAUGCUAACUAUAGCACUAUUUAGUUGUUAGAGACUUGUUUGAAAAGUCGUUCCUUUCACACUUUGCAUUAAUUAAUAUUGUUGAAACCAUUUUUUGAAAAAUAAAAAUUUGGGUUGUCGACUUUAAAAAACAAAAAUUGGAGUCGCCACCGAUCCUUUAUUGAGGUGUGAUCGGCUCACCUUAAAAACGAUUCUGGUCUACGAAAUUUGAGAAAACGAGUUCGGGAGUCAGUUACGUACGAGGAAGGGUUAGCACCCUCGUAACGCCCAAAAAUCGGUACCAAAUUGAUUAUUUAAUGUCUUGGUGUCGAAAAUUAAAAAGAUUUUGUUAAACUCAAAUUUUGAAAUCUGAAAAGGAUAAUCAAUUAUUCAAGUCAUGCGAAGAAAUUGAGUCUCAAUACGUUAGGGUACAAUUUCUCAAUAUCCCCGAAUUUUGAAUAUCACUUUUUAAUUAAUUUUUUAAAGAAAAUCUUCAUUUCGAGAAAGUAAUAUGUCAUGCCCAAUGCGUUAGGACAUAACAUAUUGAAUUCCUGAAAAUGAUUUUUGUUUAUAUAUUUUAAAUAACGAAUAUUCUCGGUUAUUUGGAAUUAACAAAGAAAAUCGGAACCCAAUACGUUAGGACUCAAUUUUCCUCGAAAAUCCCUAACUUUGAAUAUCGUUUUUAUUUUGAAAAUCUUUGAAUCAUAAAAAUAAUUUUAAUGUUUUGACAAAAUCAAAAUGUAUUUAAAAAAUGUAUUAAAAAUGUCAAUGCGAUAUGGAACAAAUAUUUUAAUUUAAAUUAUAUAUAUAUAUUUAUAAGUAUAAUAUAUAAACAAUUUUAGCAAAUACGUAUAGGAAUAUGAGGGGAAAGGAAAGAAAAAAAUGCGCAAGUCAUAAAAAUAAUAAUAAAAUAAAAUACACAUAAAAUAUAUUAAUACAUGUUUUUUUAAAAAUGUAUAAAUAUAAUGUAUUAGUAAAUAUAAAAACAUGGAAAAUGUUUAUAAAAGCGUUGAAAAGAAUGCAAAAAUAUAUGUACAUAUUACAAAAUGUAUAUACAUAUGAAUUAUAAAACAUGAAAACAUAAAUAUUAUUAUAUAAAAAAAAUGAGUGUAUAUAAAAUAUGUACGAACUAUAAAAAUAAAAUAUAUGAUAAUAAAAUAUAUACACGUACUAUCUAUAUACUUAAAACAUUUAUAAUAUAUAUGUAUAUUAAUAUAUAUAUAUAGGCGCACACAUAUAAAUACAAUAAUAAUAUAAUAAUAAUAAUUAUAAUAAUAAACAAUAUACACAAUAUAAUAAAAAUAAACAAAUUAAGGACUAAAUUAAAAUUCCAAACAGAAGUUGAGAGCUAAAUUUGAAAAUAAAAAACAAGAAAGGGAGUAAAUUAAAACAGGUGCAAUAGAGAAAGGACCGGAAGAGCAAUUUUCCAACUCGCCCUAAAGCGCUACACACUAUUGGACUAAUUGAAACAAUCAUAAUAUAUGUUGCAAAAUUUAAAAGUGAUAAAUAAAGAAUUUAGAAAAUACCAUAAAAUCAUAAGGACUAAAUGCGCAAAUGGCCCAUUUUGAACCCUAUAAAAUCAUUUCCCUUCUGUCACUUGAAAUGCGCCGCAGCAGCACUUCCUCUUUGCUGUUUCAGACCCUCCCCUCUGCCGUUCAAGUCCUUUCCCAUUUCCGCUAGAAUCCGACGAAUCGGGGACACCUUCCGACGACUCACAACGGUAAGUCCUCCCUUCCUUCCCCUCCUCGUUUUUUGUUUUGUUUUGAGAAACAAAAGGAAAAUAAAAUAAAAUAAAAAUAGUAAAAAAAAAGAACAGAGGAAAAAAAGAACCAAAAUCCGCCACCUUCAAAAAAAUCUUUGUUCUCUCUUGUAUUUUCUUUUUUAAAUUUUCAAUCCAAAAAAUUUUGCUAACCCCCCAUUUUACAGAUUCGAUUUCCCUUUUAUAUAGCCCCCCUAAAUCUUUUUUACAACUUGCUAUCCCCCCCAUUUUGCUUGCUGCUCGUGGUUCUUUUUAUUGCAGGUACAUGCGUGUAUGGGAAUUGCUGCGACGUGGGGCAUGCACGGCGCUGGAGGUUGCUGAGACGUGGGAUGUUGUUGCGAGGGAAGAACGUGGGCAGUUGCGGCAUAGGGCGAUGGUGGCGUCAAGGCUCUCUGCUGGUUAGGCUAGGGAUUUGGGUUAAUGACUUGGGCUUGUAAUGGGUUUGGGCCUUAGGCUUAGUUGGGCCCGGACAAUAAUUGGGUAUUACAAAUAUAUAAAAUGUAUUGGCCAAAAAUUAUAUACAAAAAAUUGUUCUUAAUUUUUUUUUUUAAGUAAACAAACAAUACAGACUAUUUUUUUUAGCGAUACACUUAACAACUAGAUUGAUUUAAGAGUUAAUUGGUAUAACUUGUUAAUCCGGGUAACUACAUUUUCUUCUUCUUCUUCUUCUUCUUCUUCUUCCAUUUUCUGUUUGUUUCUAUAUGUAUUUUGCUUAAUGUUUACUAAUUACAUUGAUCUCUUUUACUGGAAUUUUGUGCGAGUACCAGAUACAGAUAUUUUGCCGAAUUCUUUUUUUAAGUUUCUGUCUGUAUUUUGCUUAAUGUUUGUUUCUGUCUGUUUCUUUUUUUAACAUAGACUUCAAUAGUGACAUUAAGCUAGAUCGUUUUAGAUGAUCUGUUACGUAUGUUACUUGCAGUUUAUAGUUAUUUUUAAUUGAAAAGAGUUUAGUUGAGGAGUAAGAAGAAGACAGCACUUAUUUGAUGAGGGGUGUUAUAAAAUACUUGAGUCAUAUUAUGACAGAUUACUUGUGCAAGCUCCAAUAUAGUGGCUGGAGUUGAUAUUGUCAUAUCACAAUGAAGUUCUCAGAAUUUUGAAAUUGCAUGGGAUUCGAGUUUAAUGAAUUUAUUAUAAUGUUUACUGAGAUCACAAGCUUAGUUUCUUCAUUUAAUCUCAUCUUCUUUUUUUUAUGUUUUUGCUUUGUUUUAUUGCAGAAACAAGCAACAUUGAAAUCGAUUUGGCUUACCUUAGCUUCCUUUCCCGUAAGCUUUCAUUUACAUUUUCCUUUUAGAAUUUAAUUUAAUUUGAUUUUCUUUUAUUUUACUUUGUACAACAUUUUACAAUUAAAUGCAGGAUUAGCAGAUUUUCUAGAUGAUAAUUUGUGUCAUUAUCUCAAAAGAUUGUUAUGAUUAUUGAUUCCUCUGAAAAAGAAGUGAACUUCCAAAAUAUUAGAGGAAAAGAAAAACUUAAAUUUUGAUUAAAUUAUGGUAAUGUUAUGCUAAAAUUGUUUAUCUACUAGUAGGAAAAUAAUGGGAUUGAGAAAUAGAGAUGCUUCUAUUUAUGAAUUUGGAUUGGAUUUAUGCAGUUUGGAUUGGAAAAUAAUUGUUCUUAGCAGAUGAAUGAUCAUAGAAAUAUUUGUUUUUUUAUUAAAAUUGAUUUAUUUUUUAUAGAGCAUGUACUUUGCAUUUAAUUGAAGUCUAGAUGAAAUUGAUUUAUUUUUUAUGUACCACCUUUUAUUAAAAAAUGUCCAUAAUAUAUUUUUAUAUUAUUUCUCAAAUUUAAUAUUUAAAGCGAUUGAAUUUUAGAUAUUCUUUUAUUAUACAAUAUUACCAUUUGAUAUUAAUAUGAUAAUAUCUAAUUUUUCAAGUAAACUUUGACAAAAUGGUAUUUUUUUUAAAUUCGUUAAGUUGGUUUAUUAAUAAGAUAUUGUAAAACAGAUUGCAAAAAGUAAAAACAAUAUAAAUAUACAGGAAAAUAAUGUGCCGGGCCGGGCUCGGGCUUAGUAUUUUUUCUUGGGCCGGGCUUGAACAAAAUUUCAGACCCAUAUUUUUUUCUUGGGCCCGGCCUAGGAAAUGGGCCGAAUUUUUUUCUUGAGCUCGGCCUAAACCCGGCUCGGCUCGGCCCAUGAGUACCUCUAAUUGCCACCCACCAUAAUUAAAUUUGUGUCUCUGCCCAUAUGUAAGUUUGAGUUUUUUGCCCUUAUCUUAUAGGCGGUUCCCCUUCUUCGAAAGUUGAGGUUGCCUUCUAAAGUCAGAGUCCAGUUUUAAGCCUAUUAACUUCCAUCAUCUCAUAAUUUACUUAUUAAUCUUUUAUAAAAGGCUUAGUUGCUUCAAUUAUCAUCUGACUCUUGUCAUCAUUUAUUUUGAAAUUAAAAAAAUAUAUUAAAUAUAAUUAAAAGUUAUUUUAAAGAUAAAAUAUGAAAUUGAUAUCAAUAAAAAAUUUUAAUAUAAAAGAAAAAAUUUGGGAGGCUUGGGGGAAGUACAAUUUUUUAGGGGAAGUAAAAAUUUGAGAGAGAGUAAAAAGGAAAAAAAAAAUUGGGGUUUGAGAGGAAAUAAAAUUUUUUAGAGAAAGUAAAAGGGAAAUAAGAAGGUUUGAUAUUUAGUUUAUUAGAAUUAUUCGAGUUAUUCGAAUUCGAAAAUUAACUCUAUUCGAACUCGAAAUUCAAAAAAAAAUUGGAGUUAAUUCAAUUAACUUGAUUAAUUCGAUUCAAAUAUUUGGAAAUUUGAUUUUUUUUUCAAUUUUGUCGAGUCGAAUCAAAUUUUGCUCACCCACAAUAUGAUAAGGCGUCUGGGCAAAGAGUAAUUGGAGGAUGCAGCUGGGGAAGAAAGUAUGUGCAAUAAACACGAAUGAAGAUAGUGAAAAAGGAUUUUGAUGGUGGACGAAAAGGUUUGACUUUGGUUUAGAGGGAAAUUUUGACCCAAAAAAGAAAAUGUAAAAUUGACUCUCGCUCUUUUUUUAACGGGAUUUAACAUUGGUUGGGUCACUAAAAUGAAAAUUUCCCCAAUGGCAAUGGUUAAAUUUUAAGUAUUUUUAUUUAGAUGAUCAAAAUGAAAGCUUCUAAAAAGUUUGAUGACCAGCUAGACAGUUUGCCCUAAAUUUUCUUCCUUGUCUUCUCUAAUGUGUUGGAUUUAAUCCAAAUCGGCCCUUCACAAGUAGACUAUUUAAUUCAAUGGGUUGGACUCAGUUCAAGGCCCAAUACUCAAACUUCAUAUUUUUCUUUGGUUUAUAUGUGUCUUUGAAGUCUUUACGCUCUAACUCUCUGCAAUAUCCAUCUCCAGCAGCCACUGAGAAAGGAGGUGUGUUCUUUAUUUUUAUUUAUUUUUCUCAUAUAUUUUCCUUCUUUUCCAUUUUAAUUCCAACUCCAACUCUCAAGCUUGUAGAUUUAAUUGAGUUAUUCAAAGUCUCUACCUUUAAGCUUCUGUUCGAUUUUCUUUAAGAUUGCCAAUCUCUUCUUUGAUAUAGGAAGUUAUAUACAUGGGUUAAAAGUGAUAAAUUUAUUAAUGGGUAUUUAGCUUUAAUGGAUAAAACCAACUUCUUUUCUUAGAAAAUGUUACUUUCAAGUAUUGAACUUUGCUUUCUCAAUUUGGAUUAUGUUUAAUAGUUAUAUUCGACUGUUAAACUAUGCAGGCAAUUUUAUGGAGCUAUUUGUUUUGUGUUAUUUGGUUUUUUUUUCUUCUUUAAUUGUUUUGUUUCUAUGGUUGGAGAUACUAAGAUUUGAAAUCCAAACGUAUGAAAUACCACCUCAACAAGUUUCUUUUCUCGUACAUGUCCCUAGCUCUAGCCAUGAAAUUUUGGAACUCUUCUUAGAACAGGAUUUGAAUGAACAUGCAGAAAACUGGUGCAUUAAAUGGGGAUUAGUUUCAUAUUUAGAAACUUAAUAUCAGUACCAAACUUGGUAAAACAAUCGCUUUGUGACCAUUUCAAACAGAGGCACUUUGGGGAAUGGGCUUCGAUGUAGCCAAAAGUCUUUCGUUUCUUGCCAGUUGCCACGUAAAAAAGACUAGCUAGCCAAAACUUGGGAUCAUUGGCAUAAUUUUCUCAAAGCUUUUAAUUAAAGUGUGAACGUCAAUCUUGGACGUUUUCAAUCCCUUUGUCAGGAUAUUUUAUCCGUUGUUUAAUGUCAUUUUCGACUACCAAUCUUUUAACAACUCGUAUUUUUUUAUUUGAUAACUUUGUGCAAAAAAUCUAUGUAUUUUUUUUGAUCAACGUUGAUGGGUUAUGAAUGAAGCCACCAAGUAAUUUACGAGAAACUUUGCUUCAAUUAGUUUCAUAUUUCAUCCACAUAAUGAAUGCUAUAAAAAAAUAACUUUUUAUAAUAAGGAAUGAAUCUAAUAAUCUUUUAUGAUAGCGUAAAUUACACAAUUGAUCAUCGAACUUUUAAAAGUUCUCAUUUUAAAAAAAUUAAAUUUUUCAUUAUAGGCACCACGGUCAAAUAUUAUUCUCAUUUUGAUCGCCCGCGUUUAUUCAAUUUUAGUCACUUAAAUAAAUUUUCAUAUUGGUUCCUUCCUUUUAAUUUUUUUUUAUAAAAAACUAGAAUUUUACAAGGAAUUGAGUUAUUCAAUAUAAAAUCUAAAUUUUUACUUUGUAACUCAAUUCCUUGUAAAAGCUCAAGGUUUUUCCUUGUAAAAUCCAAAUAAUUCAUUACAAAAACCUAGUUUUUCCCUUAUUAUGGAAAAAACACUAAAAUUAAUUUUAAAUGGGAAAAAGGGAAAUGAAAAAAAUAAAUUAUUUUUCAUGCAAAAACCCAAGUUUUCCCUAUAAAAAUCGAGCUAAUUUCCUAUGAAACUAGAGUAAAUUAAAAAAAUAAAAUGAUUUUUCUUGUAAAAAUUUAAACUUUUCCUAUAAAACCCAAUUAAUUCCAGCAAAAACCCAAGGUUCUCUUUUAUUGAAAAUAAACUAAAACAAAUUUUAAAAAUAAAUAAAUGAUUUUUCCAAGUAAAAACCUAUGUUUUACCUUAUACACCUAAGUUUUUCCCUUUUACCAAGAAAAAUUAAAAUUAAUUCUAAAAUAAAAUAAAAAGGAUAAAAUAAAUGACCAAAAUGAAAACUUACUAAAAUUGGAUAACUAAAAUGAACAAUGAAUUAAUGACAAGUGACCAAAAUGAAAAUAAUUUUUAACGGAAUGAAAAUGAUUAUUAAUGGGAGUGCCUACAAUAAAUAAAAAAUAUUUUUCAGCGGAUGAACAACAGUGUAACUUUUCACCGAUCUUGCAGGGUUUGUAUCAAACUCAGGCUCCAUCUAGUAGUCUUCCAAUGAAGGAUACUGCUAUUGUUAUCUUCCACUGGGCUUAUAAUUCCUUGGAUCACUUAAUAUUGAAGUCGAUAUUACAAGAAACAGGCAAAUCGGAAUACUACUAAUAUCCGAUUUCCUUUCAAAUGUAUUUUUGCAAACAUACGUUCGACACAAGUACUCCAAAAAGAAAUGAAGAAUGAGAGCCAUGUAGCUUAUUGCCUAUCCCUUAGUAAAAUCUGCAAAACAUACAGUAAGGAUUUGCCUUGGAACAUAGCCAUUGAAAUCAAGAUCAAAGCACAUGAUGGGUGCUAUGAGAUGGUUGGAGUGUUAUAGUUAUUGCAAAUGCCAAUAUGAACACUAGCACACAGGAGAGCUUUGCCUUGAAGCACUAAUGAAAUUGUGUUUAAUCUUUGCAAAACUAUUUUGGCUAAAGUGUUUGUCUAAAGUUUAGUGAUUGCAGACUGUUACAUUCCCAACAAUAUAAAGCUAUAUACUCAGAUUGAUAGUUUAGUUUCAUGAGCAUUGCAGUGAUUAUAAUCCCAAUAACAUUAAUUCUUAACACCUUCCAUGAAAAUACUUCGACAUUGCACUACCAUUAACAUUUUCACCAAACAGUUAAUGCUGGAGCGGUCCGUCUGUUAGAUGUUACUCUAAGCUCCUAUUCUGAUUUGCUAGGCAAGAACGAGUUGACACAAUUGUUCUUGAAAGGCCUGCAUCAAGCCUCAUUAAGUAAAAAAUGGUUGAAGCUUAANNNNNNNNNNNNNNNNNNNNNNNNNNNNNNNNNNNNNNNNNNNNNNNNNNNNNNNNNNNNNNNNNNNNNNNNNNNNNNNNNNNNNNNNNNNNNNNNNNNNNNNNNNNNNNNNNNNNNNNNNNNNNNNNNNNNNNNNNNNNNNNNNNNNNNNNNNNNNNNNNNNNNNNNNNNNNNNNNNNNNNNNNNNNNNNNNNNNNNNNNNNNNNNNNNNNNNNNNNNNNNNNNNNAAUUGCAGCAUCAAACAUGUCGAAGGGAAACCUCCAACUGCUCUAUCCUCUUAGCCAGAUCAUGCUUCCCACAAUUCUUUAAACCAUCCGUAACCAUAUCAAAGCACCUUGAAAUUGGUGCUAAUCCCAGCUCAGUCAUCUCCACCAAAUAAUUUGCUGCCUCUACAAAUCUGCCUCCACGUCCACACAUUGUUAUCAACAUUGUAUAGACCGGUCUGUUUGGAGCAUGACCCUUGAUCUUCAUCUCACCGAAAAAGCUAAAUGCAUCAUCAAACUGCCCUUUCCUACACAAGCCUUUGAUUAUAGGUGCAUACAAACUAGGGAAUGGCUUAUAACCUUGUUCAAUUGAAUUAUUUAAAAGUCUAAAAGCCUCGUCGAUCCUACCAACUUUUGAAGCUGCAGGUAUCAAUAUUUUGUAAGUAUUAAUAUCCGGACAAAGCCCCAAUUUACAAACACUAUGAUACAUAUCGAUGCAGAAAUCAAUCUCCUCAGUUUUACAGAUUGUUUCCGCCAAAGAAUUAAAUGUAGCAAUGUCAGGCACAAACCCUUCCUUGGUCAUUCUUCUUACCAUUUUCUUGGCUGAUUCAAGAUAACCUGCAUUCAACAAACCUUCUAUCAACAAAUCUCGACCUCGAACCGGAGGAUUAAACCCCUUCUUGCUCAUGUCCUCCAAGAAGUCUUGCGCUUCCUUCAUCUUCCCGGAGGAACACCAUCCAUUCACCAGAACUGUGUAUGUCCUCUUGUCUGGUAACUCACCUUUCCUAAUCAUCCUCCGGAUUAAUGCAUAUGCUCCAUGGAACAUCUUCACCUCACAAAGUGCAAAGAGCAAUGAAUUGUAAACGCUAACGGUCUGUUUGCAACCUAAAUUAGUGCUUUUGUUGAAAACUUCCACAGCCUGGUCUAUGAGGCCGUUCUUCCCGUACUCUUCAAUGAUAAAAGACAGGAUAUCACAAGAAAGGCUAAGCUGCUGCUUUUGCAUUUGUUGAAUGGUUUUCCACAUGGAUUCAUACUUCCUAUGGAGAAUGAGGAUCUUGACUAGCUCCUCAAAUUCGACGGAGGUGGGGGUGUAGUGGGAACGGGCCCAUGAGAAGAAGCGAAGAGAUUCUGUAGGGGAGUUUGAGCAGGAACGAAGUAUGCGGAAUACAAGUUCAGAGUUCACAGAAAGGUUCAUGCGGUUGAGAGUGCGCUCUGGAUGAACUUCACGACGAAUGAUGUUGGAAAUGUGGUGGAUAGCUGCAAAAUAGUCAUCUUUCGAAACAGAAGGGAUGGAAACAGAAGUACCUUGGGGGAGAAUUUGCUAAGGUUAGGGUCCUAAAGGAACAGAGAAUGUUUUGUGAUUUAUUUCUAUAUUUGUGGAGCAGCUGUGCAGACCAGAGCAUUUGCAGUAGAAGUUACAGUCCAGUAACCUUCAUUUCCACCUCGAUACUCGUUAAUUGACAGAAGCAACAGAGGAAUAAUAUGCUGCAAUUUCAAAGAACUUCC